rnacentral:lncRNA from 1 species
GAAAAAAGUACAUAGAAAAAUCCCCGUUAUUAGAAAUCCAUGAAAGCAAACAAAAACUUAAAAUAAUGAUCUCUCUUCCUUGCACAGUCCAAAGUCCAAACUUCAAAUGCUGGUAGAAACUCAAAGAUGAAACCAAGAAACCUAUGAUUAUAAACGGGUUCAAUUAUAACAAAUUAAGGAACAUUCAGGAUAAGACAAAUAAUACACAACCUGAAAUUCAACCUAUUAUAAUUCAUUUUAGACAAUAUAUCACUCUCCUAUACAUGAAUAUUUCUCAUCCUAGUCUAGCAAGUUCAUGAAAGUAAAAGUUUUUAAUAUCUCAGAGUCUCCACAAAAAGGUGAGUACUUCCUUUUCAUUUAAAACUUUAGUCAAUUUAGGUAUCUAUCUUCCUAAGGCACUACACCACAUAAUCAAACUAUGAAUUGAGGAUUGAGAAUAUAACUACAAGAACUCAUGGUAAACUUUUACAACUUUGGCAAGGGAAGAGUAGAGAGAAAUAGAGUGAAAAAAAUUCAGUGUUUCUGAGUUCUUCAGUAGAGGAUUCAGAGGUGAAAGUUACCACCCAAAAAUCCAUUUUAGUAAUGGUUUGAAUUUGGGGCAUACUGUUAAUUCUGGGGAAAAACCAUUAUGAAAAAUUCUCAACUCUACUUUUAUUUCAAAACAAGAAAAGGAUAAUUGUUUCUUCUACUCUACUCUCUCUUCCAUUUAAUGUCCAACAGAAAUGGCUACUCUUUAACAUUUUUCUACAAGAUGUUCCAUAUUUAUCUCCCACCAGACUAAAAGAAUGAUAAUAAGAUAAUAAGAUAAAAAGAUAAAUGCUAGAAUGCCAAGAUGACAGGCAACAGAAAUCCUGCAGGCAAAAGAGUUCAAAUCAAAGUUUCAUGAAGCUAGCAGAUAAAAUACAAGCAAAGAAAAAAAACACAGGCAUGAAAUUAUUAGGAUGCCAAAGACAAACCAGGUGAUGUAUUGGUACUGCAGUCAGUGAUCCAAAUCGACCAUUAAUUCGCCCAACAAUUUCAUGAACUUGGCUUGUAAGUUUCUGGUCUGCCAACAAUAAUAAGUAAAAUUAAGAAUUACAUUCAGCCAAACACAUUAAUCAGGAAUUUUCCAAAUAAUUUCAUUAUUUAUAAAAAUAACCAUAUUAAAGUUUAAAAAUAAUAUGACCAAAUUGAGCAUGCAUGAUGAACCCAAGGAAUCUGUAAGAAAAAGUUGACAACAUUAUCAUCCUGCCUUUUGCAUUUACUACCAGAGUUGGUAGUAAAACAUAUCAAAUUCCUUUUCAUUCGACAAAAGAAACUCAAGAAAGGUUUCUGAAGGGCGUGAGUAACUGUAAAAAGAAGAAUGUUAAUUAUCUUCAACUUUGGUCAGGAAGCGAAACAUACUUCAGGAGAGCAAUUGAGGAAUUAGAAUAGCAUAUUUAUAUGUCAGACCUCGACUCUUACAUCAUUUCCUGGUUCAGAUUUCAAGUCAGGUUGGUUUGUUAUUCAGGAAAACAAAAUCCUUUAUAAACUAAUUGAUAUUUUUUAUAACAUAUUUGGGCAUGCAAUUGAUAAUACAUAUUGAGUAUAGCAAGUGAACUAAAAUUUCAAGCUCAUGUUGUAUCCUGCACUUUCCUCUUUAAAGCUUCUAAUUGCUAAUUGAUAGCCUGGUAACUUGCUCAGUCUACAACAUCUGGAGGCUCUUUAUGCCAAACGACUAGUAAAUACACCAUUGACAAUUCCAAAACAGAUUUAAGGUUAAAAAAUCUACACAAUUGCUGCCCAAGAUGGAACUCAAGAAUAUUAAAAACUAACAAUAACAUAUCUUUCUUGUAAAGGAAAACUAACUCCAGAAAUAUGCUAUACCUGGCAAACACAUAAACAGUAUUAGAACACAUAUCUACAGACAAGAGAAACAAAGAAGCAUACAUUCAGGAACAUCAGUUCUUGUUGGCACUGCAAUUUGCAGCAAAACCACUUUAUCACGCCAGUUAGGAUUUUCCUCAAGGAACUUUUCAAAUGCCAGUAUCUUUUGGGGAAUUCCUUUAAUCAUAUCAAGACGAUCAACACCAAGCAUUACCUGCCAAGUUAGGACAGUUAAUAAUAAGCACACAGAGCAACAAAUAAAAUAAUACGUCACAGCAAUAUAAGGCCACAAAAGACUUAUAUUAGAAAACCAAAAAGAGAAGAUAUAGAAGAGAGAAAUGUUCUUUCUGCAUGGAUUUACAAACAUGUAUAAUAAACUGGCAAACACUUCUACAUUAUACUGCUUUGAAAGGUGAAAUAGAAAUAAAAAUGAAAAAAGGAAAAAGAAAAUUUCAAUCUAAAAGGGAUAAAUAGCUGAAAUUGAGCUGGCUGUUAAGUGGUGCUAUACCCCAUCUGUUAAAUAUUGGGUUUCCUAGUCUUAUAAAGUCUCUCCACUUAAUGCCAACUGUUUUUACGUUAGAUGCUUAACAAGUAUAUAUCCUAGUAUUAACAUUAAAAUAUUAUAAACUAUGCAUACAUAUCUACAUGUCUAUAUAAUCAGUUUGUGUAUGUAUAUAUUCCAUAGUAAUUCAAACAUGGCAUGACUAGAAAUCAGGGUAGAAUUUUUUUAUUAACAAACACUGAAAAUAGUUUUGGUCAAAACAAUUGCACAAGAUGUUGAUCACACACUUACAAAACCAGAAAUCACGGAUUUCAAAUUUAGCAACAAACAAGCAGAUAAAGAAAUUAAAGGUUAUAAUAAUGUCAUAAGGUAAAUAAAGCAUCUACCUUUCGGCCAGAAAACCUUUCUUUCAAUUCUUUGAUGUGUUCCUGGACCUGAGGAACCAGAAGUGCGUUUUGGAACCGUAGAGAGUCUAUCCCAAUAGGAAACUGAUGUCUCAAGCAAUUAAAGAACCAAAAAGACAAGUAUAAGCAUAAUUUGCAAUUAGUUUGAAGGAAAAACAUGUUUAAACUAAUAUUCCUAGUACAGCAUAUAAAGCAACAAGCUAUGAAGAAUAAAGGCAUAGGAGAAGUCAAGUGAAAAAAAAGGAAAUAAAGGAAUCAAACAUACCGCAGCAACACGGGUCAGCCUCCCUUGAUCCUCGACUCCUUCAGGUGUCCCCUCAAUUCCAAGAAUUCGAGUACAGGCACUAACAAAAUGUCUGGCAUAGUCAUAGGUAUGAAAACUGGAACGCAUACAACAAAAUGAAAACAAUGGUUAUCUGCACAUUAGGCAAAUAGUUAUAGAAGUCUAAGAAACACACUCUCAGAGGUGAUCCAAUCAUAGGGAAUGAACCACUUCAAAGUGAUAAAACCAUGAGACCUAUUAGAAUCAAAUGCAAUCCAUCUUUAAUACAAACAUCUAUACAAAUAAGGAUUUUUUGUUUUUAUUUUGCCAACUUUGCUUUAAUAGUAAGCUUUAUAAAAAUUUGAGAAACACACUCUCAGAGCUGAUCUAAUAAUAGGUGUGAUAAAAUCAUGAGACCUAUUAGAAUCAAAUGCAACACAUCUUAAAUACAAACAUAUACAAAUAACGAUUUUUUUUGUUUUUAUUUUGCCGACUUUUCUUCACUAAUAAGCAUCACUUCCCUGUAGAUUUUCAGAAAGCUUAACUGCAAGAGGUCAUGCAAUUCUAAAACCACAUAAUCCUGCUUGUUUUAAACUAGCACAUGUUAGUUACGAUAAGUGAAAUUAACAAAUUUCUGGACCAGCUAAACUUCAAUAAUCUGCAGAUUAAAAUAAUUAAAUUAACAAGGCAGAGAAAAUGUCAGUGUGAUAAUUGCCAAUAGAAAUGUCCACCAUUCACAACCAAAUUGUAAAACAAUGAACCUUGCAUAAGUACAAAGAAUACCAACAGCAAAAAUUAGAGGGGUAAAUAGGCUAAGAGGAAAAGUUAACUAGCUAUACUAUGCAUAUCCAGAUUUCACCAAUUGAGAUAGACUGAUAACUUAUGUUUGAAAAGUAAAAUAUAUCAAUCAUGUUAAGAUGAAGUGCAAUAAGUCAGCAAAAAUGCAGCAGAAACCUACCCAACCAAGUCAGCAGCAAGAACUGAACGCAAAAGCUCAGAUCUGGAUGGCAGUGUCCUAUGAAUUUCAGAAGAAGGGAAUGGUGUAUGUAGAAACCAACCAACUUUCAUAUUAUUGUUGUGGUUCUUCAGGCAUUCGGGAAGAUACAUUAGGUGGUAAUCAUGGCACCAGACAACAUCCCCCUCUUCAUAGUGCAUAUUUACGACAUCAGCAAACAUUUGAUUGGCUUUCUUGUAUGCAGCAAACUGGGACUGGAAACUUCUUGUAGUAGCAAGGCGGUCUUCUUGAGGAAGUCCAAGGUAGUGAAAUAGAGGCCACAAUAUAUUAUUGCAAUAACCAUUGUAGUACUGAUGAACAAUCUCUUCAUCAAGGAAUACUGGGAUACACCACUGCAUGAUAAGUGCCUUCAAUCUAAAUUGCCUAUAUAACAUAUAAUCAGAUUGCAUUCCAGAAAGAGUGUUUCAAAAGCAGCUAAAUACCUUUUCAGCUAAAGCUUUAGUAAGUGCCUUCUGUCCAAUCUCAUCCGGAACAUUCACACCAGCCCAUCCAAUCCACCUUGUUUCAAACUCCUUGACACCUGGAAAGUUCAUCUAAAGUUAUCCUGUAAUGGUAAAUGUAGAAAUGUUGACACAAGACCCAAGUAAACCAGGGAGUUAAUAGCUUACCCAAGAGAGCAGUUACAAGACCUCCAGCACUUAUUUCCAGUGACCAUGAAUCUUCACCCCUCCUCACGGCAGAAACAGGAAGCCUAUUGGCCACUACCAACAGUCGUUGCCUAAAAGGCCUUCCAUCUUGUCUUUCGCAUCCCUCAGUCAGUGCCCUUGCAACUGCAGCGUCUUCCAAGUAUUUUUCGACAAAAGCAGCCCUAGAGUUGUCACCUUCUCUAAAACGUGGUCCAUUCUCAGAUACUUCAGCCCCCUUACGAAUAUCAAUCACUUCAUCUAAAUGGGAAGUUCUGUUGCUUUUCCUUUGCUCCCUUAGCUCUCUAUCACGCAAAAGGCGUUCCGUGCGAGUUGGUAUAUGCGGCGAAUUACCGUUGUACUUGUUUCCAGGCAUACGCUCAAUCUAGAAACCAACCACCAAUACCAAUUUUAUAAGCUCUCAGAAUAAUUUUAUGUCCUGCAUUUUUGUUUUAGUAAAUUAAGCGUAUUAAUCAGCAGCAUAAUUCUGAGAAAGCUCUGCAUCUUACUAAGAUUACGUACUGUAAAAACACGACGACGGUCAAUGAUUUUGUACAAAUAGUUACUAAGAUUUCCAUUGUCUUUAAAAACUUGUUACUGCCUAAAUUUCUUCCCAAAAAGAAUCAAACAAAAGGACAGAAAAAUAUGAAAAGAUAACAAAUAAAAUGGGAUCCACUGAAUUUGAUGAAAAAAUGGGGUCUACCAUGAAUUUUUAUAAUAAUUCAAGCCCAAGAUUUCUUUCGGACCAAAAUCCACUAUGUAUAAAAAUCGCAUAGGAAAAAGAAGCAAGAAUGACACAUUAGCAGAGCCGAACUAUAGAGAAUAUAAAAUCCACGCGGCUAUGUAGUUCCCUUCAUUUUUCAAGAUUCCGCAACAACCUAUCAUCCAGGUUAAAAUCCAACCCAUUGCACGCAAAAAUUAAAAGAAUCUUUUUUAGUUAAAACAUUGGAAGCUUAUUAAACUCGAAGAAUCUAUCUUAAGUCUUAACCAGUUUAAAAUAGCAAAAAGUAGUGAAAAAAAAAGAAAAAAAAAUUCCCACCUUUGAGACCAAAUCCUAAAAACCAAACAACCCAAUAUUUCCUAUAAGAAAAGUUAACCUGCUUACGCUUUGCUACAAUACAUGAACUUCUGUACUAAAACUGAAGCACCAAAGGAUUAGAUAAGAAAGGUAAAGAAAUGAAACAGAAAGAAAAUUCCAGAGUCUAGUUGUGGGUGGGAGAGAGUUAUCAUAGCAGGACAAAAAGUAAGGAAGGAACACAAUUCUUGUGAAAUCUUUAUAUGGGCACUUAAAGCCAGCCAUGCAGCUGCAGGUGACACAAGAAAGAACAUAAGAUCGUGUAGAAAAGGGAAAGAAAAAGUUUUACCAACAAAAAACCAGAAAAUACGUAGUAUAGUAAAAUACUAAUCAAAACCUCGGAAGACUCAAGAAAUUGGGACAUUUCAGUCAAGUAAUUUAAUAGUGUUUAAAUGAUCAUUACUAAAAAAUCUAUGACGAAAGCACUUAGGAAAGAUCUGCUUUUCCUACACGUUCCUCCGUGGGUCCGACUCAGGUAAGGCCACAUGAGCAUUUUCCAGGUCUUAUCGUGUAUUUGAACAGAUUGCUAAAGAAAUCUGAACCGCUUCAAUAUCAAUUUUAAUUUAUUUUGGUUUUCUUUUAGUGGGAAAAAAUAUUGUGUCUUUUAUUCCGCAUGGAAGGGUAAUCUUUUGUCUUUUUCAAAUAAAAUAAAACAAUCAAAUCUUUUACUUAUUAUAAUUAAUAAUUAAGCCUGUCCUAUUUUCUAAAAACAACAACGAAAACAAAAGUAUAAACCAAUUGUUUUUACCCCUUUCAAGGAAAGGAAACAAAAGUUUGUAUUUAAGUCCUCUGCUGAUUUUGUCAAAAGGUUCCAGAUAUCAAUGUACUACCCUUGAAAACUAUGGCAUUCUCUAGAACGUAAAAUAGAGAGAAAACAAGAGCCGUCACCAUUUAUAUAUACACACUAAUGUGACAAGUACGUAACUGUUUGGAGAAGCUGUGAAAUGGAAGAAAGUGACUAAACAAAUAGUUUAAAAACUAAUAAAGCUGAUAAGAAAAUAGAUGAAGUAAUAAUAUGGACACUUAAUUUUUCAGAAGUUGCAUGCAAAAUAAAACAUGAAGUGUGCCAAAAGUCCUAUCAUUACAGCUCGUUUCCAACCCAAAAAUUUUGGCUUUUUUGUACGAGCUAUUAUUAGUAGAGUAUGUAUUUGGCACACCAGGACAUAAAUUUUUUUAUUUCACAAACAAUAUAAAAAAUUGAUGUGUAUUUUAAAAAAAAACUAAUUUACCAUUUCCCUAUAAAGAUAUUUGUUUAGUGUUUAAAAACUCCCUAUCAAAUAUUUUUCCACAAAUCAACUAAUCUCUAUUAUUAAUUUUCAAUGAAACUGAUUAUAAAGAAACAAAUGGUUGAUAUCAAGUUGUCCCUUAAUCCAUUUUAAUUGACCAAAGAAAGAAAUAAUAAUAAACAAAAUGCAAAAUGCUGUGCAAUGCAACAAUUAAUCAACAUUUAGAGACAAGUCAAAUAUCCUUUUUUUCUUUACAUCUAUGGGAGAAAAUCUAAGUGGCGUGGUAACUGCUAAGGUCCAACUUUUGCUCUAAGAAAAGAAACCAGUAAAUCAAAAUCUUAGUAAAAUUAGGUAUACUCUUACUAAAAUAGGUGUAAAAUCUUGUAAUAGUGUCAACAAUACGAAUAUGUACCACGCGGAAAGAUUUCAAUUUAUUAAUAUUUAAAAAGGAAAAGAAGAUAAAUCAAUGUUAUAAUUAACGAGGACUGUUAUUUUUUAAAAAUAUUUUUUUUAUCUCCUAAUUUACAUAUAAAGGAAUACAAAAUAAACAAUAAAAUUAGGAUUUAACUUAAAUGAUCAUACAAGUUAGAAAGAAGACAUCUUGGAGGAUACUUGAGUCCCUUCUUGUAGUUUAAAUACGAGAAAGAGAGAUUCCAAUAGAAGAGGUGACCACUGAUAGUGUAGUGUGUGAACCUCACAGUGUGGAAUCGGAGGAUGAACUACAAACUCUAAUGGAAAAGCAUUUCAUAAUAUUAUUUAUGCUAAUAAUAAAAUAUUUGAUUGAAUUAGUCACAUAACUCAGAGAAAAGACUAACAAAUUAACUUUUUCAAAAACAACUUAUCUUUCUGUAUUUUUAUAAAUAUCUUUCAUAACUACCCACUCUUAUCUCCUACUCCCCUCAUUUCCUUUAAAAAUUUACUUUCUAUUUUAAUUUAUUUUUCAAAUAUAACCAUUUUUAAUAAAUAUUAUUACUUUAAAAAAAACCUUCUUUUAUUUUAUCCACAAAAUGACUGAUGAAUUCUAAUAUACUUAAGAGGCACAUACGACGUGGUUUAAGCCACUAAAUAGUGACAAAAAACAUUGACCAGUUCAAUCCCCAUAUACUUUCCUUCCCUCGUUAAAACCAAAAGAAGAAAGCAUGUAUGGCUCGAGCAGCAUUCUAGGCAUGAAAAAGGGGUCAUACAUGACAAUCAUGAUUUGUUUCAAUUUUGACAAACUUAUUUGUCUUCAUUAUAUUCAACACAUCAAAUCCCUCUUCACCUUAAAAAAAACACAUAAAACGUUUCUGCAAUAUAAUUUAAUAAUGCUUUUCACAUUAGAUCUAUAAACAAUUUAGGGGCCGUACUAGGAAUCUCCAAAUGUGUUUUAGCUAAAAUCUUCCUAUUACUUUUAACUUUAUUAAAAAUUCAUUUCACCAACUUUUCUAGUCUAAUUUCUACCCGUUUUCUUGAAUUACUUUACCUUUUGUUUUGGGAGAAUAUUAUCUUUAGCAUUUUAUUAUAAGGUUUCUACUUUUAUAUUUUAACAUAUAUUGUAUUUGUAGUGCCCUGUACAAAUUUAAGAAUUCUACUGAUUAUAUAUAUAUAAAUUUAGUCCUUUGUACCUUUAUCGUGCAAAGGAUUAAUAAAGUAAAUGCGCAUAGAGAGACCAGCAACUGGACCACGCUAGCAAUGCGCAUUUUAUAAACUAGUCCAGAUAAAAAGUAGUUUUUAGGGGAAUAUUACAUUUUACACUUUUUUCUAGUAACAUUUCUGUUACUUAUGAGACCAGUUAUCACAUUCGUUGACAGUAAAAUUAUCAACUUUUACAAACAGAAUUAAUAGAAUCACGUAUAUCCUUAUAUUGUAAUAAUAAAUUAAAGAAAUUUGUGACAAUCUUUUAAUAGGUGAAAUUAAAUAUAAAUGCACAGACAGAGCCACUAGACCUGGCAACUCAAAAGCGCAUUUAAUAACAUGUUUUCCCCUCUAUUUUCCUCUCUAUUUCGAACUGAAAAACAUCAGCAUGGAAAAUAAGCAACUAGAAGUGCGACAAUAAUCUUCUUUAGUGUUUUCUUCAAUGCAAUUCCUAUUCACUAAUUUAUAGAAAAAUAUUAUGCGACUAAAUGCACUCUAAUUUAUAUUCUCUUAUAUGUUUUAAUAGUAAUAAUACCAACUAAACUAAACCUAAAUCAAUCUCCUUGAUUAAUUUUUUGGGUAAUUUUGAGUAGACCAAAGAAUAAAAGCACUAAGCAAUGUCGAUUGCGAUGACAUGUCAACCCCUGCUCUGUUGAGUUGGGGGGGGGGGGCUACUUGUACUCUUUGAGUGGUGCAGCCAGCAACCUUUAACUGCUGGCACAAGAAAAGGCAAAUUUUUUGCCUGUGGGAGAACAACCAAAUGGGGCAACCAUUUCCCUAUUUUCCUAGUGGGGAAUUCUGAAUGAACAGACAUUUUCCCACCUUGGGACAUUGACGCAACUCAAGAACGGACAUGUUUUUUUACGUAAAGCACCGAAGAGAUAAGCCAAAAUGCUUGGUCUACAUGUAUUCCUAAUCCGAUUCCUUGAAAGAAAACUUGAAUGACAAUGGCUUUAGCCAUAUUAACAGAUAGUACAUAUUAGGAAUCUCCUUGGUACCUAACCUGAUGAUCGAAAAUGAUUUGCCACCAACUUGUAUAGUAUGAUUAGAAAGACUUAUAUACCUAACCCGGUUACACGCUCUGCAUAUUGCAAGCAAACUUUCUAAAAGUCAAACAAUGAAGAGAUUCCAAAGCAUAAAAUUUGUUGCUCAGCUAGAUUACAAUUCACCAAAAGCAAUUCAAGUAAUUCUGUUGAUUUACCAGAGUUAAGCAAUAGCAAUCAAAGAAACAAGAAAAAGAUAAACUGAGACAGUAAAGACGUGCGUCAAUGAAAUCCAGUAAAAUGGAAAACAUAAGCAAUCUGGUGCUAGAAAAUGUCGGAAAUUAAUGGUACAGAUAGGUAAGUAAAUGCCGCUACUUACGGUCUAAGAGGAAAUGAGGAAGAACUGCAUGGACUUGCUACAGGGGAAGGUUGCAACUUUUGGACUUCAAAAAAGAAAUAAUAAGCAAACAGAAAUAUACUUUUUAAAUAUAAUUUUGAAUUAUGACUAUUGUCCAAAUAAAAAAGCGAAGAAAGGAAAGACAGAUACCGGAAAAGAACCAUAAUACAAGUGACUAAAUCGAUGAAAGGGAGGAAAAGGGAAAUGAGCGAAGACCAGAAAUUGACAGAAAGGACUUGCAUGCUGGUUUGUUCUUUUUCUGUGCUAAACGAAGGCAAGUGGGCGGUUGGUAUUAUUGCUUGUGGUCAGAGAUAAAAAGAAAGAUAUUGGGGAUCCUAGAGCGUGAGUGCCCGUGAAAAGAUACACUAGUAGCCACUCGCCAGGGAAUUUUCAGUGAAGGCAUAAAUUUGUUACUCGUUCACGAAAGGUUGGUACCCACAAUUUGUGGGUCCCGUAAAAAUUUAAGUCACAGAUUCCUUGCCUGGGCUGGGGUUGGGACCUUGGCCGGCCGAAUCGCCUGAUAGAUGAUACUAACCAUCCAGUCUGGCAAACACUUUCGUGGAGCAAAAAUGACCUCAUAGGCCAUACCCAUGUCAAAAUACUUUAAAAAGAUCUCUGAAAUAUAUGUUGAGCCUAAGAAAAUAUUUCUAAUGUGGCCCCAGGGAACUGCCAUCUCGCAAAACGUCUAAAACAUGAGCCUUUCAGCCUCAGAGGCUCAAACUAAGGGCCCACUAUUGGCAAGUGGCUACUAUAACAAGUUGUUCAGAGUUUUUUUUUUUUGAUGAGAAUAAUGGAGAAAAACACUACUCUGCUUCUGAAAUUCUUCAUGAUUUUCCUUUCCUUCUCCUAGGAUAAGAUCUGUUGAUCUAACCAGUAACCACCAUACAAAAACAUUUCAACCCACGUAAUAAGAAGGUAACGGUUACAAAGGCCUUUUACCAUCAAUGCUGCAAGUCAUUGAGCAAAAUUUUCAAAAAAAGGGGGGGGGGGAAUUAACAAUCUUUUUUUCUUAGUUAAAAUGUUUUAAAGAUACUCAAAGCAUCGACUACUAAGUUUUUUAUAUGAAAAUGAAGAGAAAAACAGAGUGAAACAUAGAAGGAACUCAAAUUACAUGCAUCGUACUAAGAGAAAUACAGCUUACCUCAAUUACGAUUUGAAAAGAGAAAGAAUGAACUCUGUUUUCAGUCUACAGAUGAAUCUGUUUUUCAAGUUCUGGUUGUUGUGAAGGUGGAGAUAUAUACUAUUCUUGUCUAACGAAUCAGAGAAUCUGUGCAUACGAAGUGAAGACACAUAAAUGCCUUAAUUCCAAUGGAGUUCUUACUCCCUCUUUUGCAACCAGACCAACUAAAAUUAGUGUCAUUUUAUCCACACUCUCAGAAUAGCAAGAUGACAGCAAUUUGGCCAGUUAGCCAAAAGAGUUGUCAUUUUCUUCACUAAUGAUUUUGGCUCUUUUCCUUCUAGUGUAUAAUCCUUAAACUCCAAUUAUUGAGCUUGUUUCCCAAAGUUAAAAAUUACACCGUAAAAGCUACAGGGGUAGUUAAGACUUAACGUCACAGUCCCCUGGGUCUCAAAGAAAUAUACUCUGGCAAUUUUUUGUAUUUGGAAAAUCCAGAUUCAAUUGGCUGCAAAGCCAGCUAUAUGAUUUAACUGCUCGAAAAUGCUAGCCCCUCCAAGGCCGCAUUGGCUAUAAAAGUUUUUGCUAAUCUACAGUGCCUCAUUAAAUGAACCUGUUUAGUGCUUUUCCGCAGUCUAACAAUAAAAGAAAGUCUAUGCAGUUCUGCUAAGUGCUAGCCACUAAACUCAGAUUCCAGGGAUAUACUUAAGUUCCACUCAAUCACUAUCGUGACAAAAUUGAGACUAGACAACUUGAGUGAUGCGCCAAGCCAAGAUUAAGUACUAACGGUAGUUAAUAUACUUUACUCGAGUAAUAGUAUAUAAACUUGAAUUUAAAGCACUUUAAAAAAAAUUAAGUAAGUUAAUUGAGUUUUAACUCGAUUGGUAUCGAAAUUAUUAUCAAAAUUUAAAUGUUUAAAGUAGGAUGAGAUCAUGAAUAGUUCUCUUAUUGUAUAAAAAAUUUUUAAAUAAAAUAUUUCAACCAUACUAGAUUAAAAAAAAAAUACCUUCUUAAAAAAAUUAUUUUUAAAAAUUAAUGACUUAAAUAUUUAAAUUUAUUUUAUCAGUAAUGUUUUUGAUAGAUUUAUCAGUAUAAUUUUAACAAAAUAAGUAUCACUCAACUUAUAAUACCAGACUUUAUAAUUAACCUACGCUUGUAGAAAAAUAAAGCAAUAUAAUUAGAGACUUGUCUUUCCUGAAAACUAAAAUGUUUACAUAAUAUAAUUUUCAAUACCACCAUAUGAAUCUAACAGCUUUCCUAUAACUAUAUUUCAUCCAAACUAUCAAAUAAGUAAACGAUACUGAUAACCGUUUCAAGUUACAACACAGCAGAAAUUUGCUUAGAAAGAGUAAAUUAGCCUUUUAUAUAAACAAAAAAAAGGGUAUUAUUUACAGUUCAAAGAAAUCCAGAAAUAGACCGAAUCUUUUAGAAAAAUAAAUAAUAAAGCAAUUACCAUUAUUCGAAAACAAAGAAAAUCUCGAUAUUGGAAACAAAAGAAACAAAAGUUUCUUUCUAUAUACUCCAAAAUUUACUCUCUCGUUUCACAGCAACCAAACAGAGCAGCCUCGAAAGAAUGAACAUCAUUUCUCAAUGAAAAUUCUAAAAAAGAUUUAAAGAAAACAACGACGAAAAUCAGACGGGCCUCUAAUUUUCGAAAUACUAAACAAAACAACAACAGCAACAAUAAGAAGAAGAACAAUCAAUGAUUUUCGAAAUUUAAGCUAAAAAAAAAACCAGAACAAAUAAGAAAAACAGAGAAAAAAUGAACGACAAAAAGAUUUAAAAAGAAGAGAAACUAACCUUGAUAAAAUGUAGAAGUAGAUCUGAUGUUUGAGCAAAGAGCUCAAAUGCUAAGGAAUUUCAAAAGAACAAAGCUAAAAAUUAAUGGAGAUCAAAGUCGAAGCGCGAUUAAGAGAACAAAAAAAAAAAAAAACUUAGUGAGGGAAUUUUCUGGAGAGAAAACGAAGGAACGGAAGAGAGGAGGGUAUUUAUAGGAGAGAAUCAAAGAGGCUUUUUCUUUUGGCGGGGGAGAGAGAGAGAGUAAUGGCUAUGGCUGGGAGACUGUUGGCUUCGCUUUGGUUGUGCCCAAUCAUUUGGAGGGAAUUUGUUCUUCUUUCUUUUCAAAAAAUAUAUUUUUUUUCUUUUUUGAUAUUUGUAAAUUUCAAUAAAAUAAAAUAAAAUAAAAAUUGUCACUUUAAUCGCAUUAAUAAAUUUUAAAUAAUUUAUGAAAUAAAUAAUAAAUUUGAUUCGUACGUUACACAAUAUUUUAACGAUAACAUAAAAUGAUUUCACAUAUGUUCACAUUUUUUCUACGCUUUCUUUCUCUUUUCCUUCUUUAAGCAUCUAUCGAAAAAAACAAGGUCUUUAAGUUUUACGUUACAAACUGAUUUCAAGUCUUUCUUAUUCUUUAUGUUUAAGUUGUUUCUGUAGUUUUUUUUUUUUUUUUUAUCUUUUCUUUUGUGAAUUCGUGACUUAAAAAUCUCAUUAAAUUUAAAACAACUUAUGAAAUAAGAAUUAAACAUUUAAGCGUUGAUUAUGAAUGCGAAGGAUAUGAGUUCUCAGAUUGAACAAACCAAUGUAUGGCAUUACGACGUACCAAGAGUUUUAUAGUGAUUGAGUCUUUCGAUUUAAGUGUAGUCUUUAAACUUUUGAAUUCUAUUUAGUGAAUGCAUGCCUUACUUAUUUAUUUAUUUUAAUUUAUUUAUUGCUUUGUUGUUAUUUUUGUCUUUGAUAAUAUUUUGUUUGAGCUAAAAAAAAAUUUAAGAUUAAGAUUUUAAAAUAUUUUUUAACAUCAUUUACAUUUGUUAGAUUUGGUGGUAAGGUAUUUGAAGCUUAAUAUUAUUGGAGAAUCUCACACACAGAAUCUUUUUCGGUAUUUUUUUUCAAUCACUUUUAAUUCUAAAUUUGAGUAAAAUAGUUUCUAUAAAAAAAUUAAAGUAAUUUAAUUUCUAUUAAUUUUGAUAAUGAACAAUUAAGAACAAUUAAUUAUUGCAUUAACGUCUUUAGUUAAUUGUGCAUAAUUUUGAUAGGUAUAAUAACAAUUUUAGCUAUCAAUGUUUACAUAUUUUGUUAAUUUGGUAUUGAUUCUAAAAAAGUCAACGAAUUUAGCCUCAACAUUUACACAUUUACGAAAAUAUUACAGGUUAAAUUUGUUUAAUUGUGACCAAAUUGAUAGAAUGUUUAAAUAAUAAAAAUUAAAUUUGUUAUUAUACCAAUCAAAUUUAUGUAAAAUUGACAAAAAAAAUAUUAAUGUCUUGAUUAAAUUACUCUAAUUUAUUUAGAAGAACCACUCUGCUCAAUAUCAAAAUUGAGAAGGAUUGGAGAGACCUUUUUUCCUUAUUAUUAUUAUUAUUAUUAAGAAGUCUUCUUUUUAUACAAUGAUUAUACCUAUCCAUAGAACCCAAUUUUUGGAGAAAAAUAUACCUAAAUACACAUCCUCCUAAUUAUUGUAAUGAUAACGAUACCAAUUAAGUUAAAAUUCAAUCAACGAUCUCCUAAUUUAUUUCAUUUUAUAAUGUAAGCUUAGCUUUUAUGUAAUUUAAGGUGACACGAAGGUAAUUCAAGAAUUUCUUUUUUUGAAAAUUUUGUGUUUUUUAAAAUAAAAAUUAUAAUAUUUUCAACAAAUAGUAUAAAAUAAAAAAUAUUAAAAGGCAAUAAAAAGCAAUUCUUAGUCACAAUUAUUUAUUAAAUAUAUGUUUAUUUUCAAAUUCCAACUAUUAAAAAAUGCUUUGUAUGAUGUUUAUGUAUUUUCACAUAUUAUAAUAAUAUUUAAAAUAUUAUAUAAAUUUUAACAUAUUUAAAUUUCAUGCAUGUCGUGAUUAUGCAAUUUUGACGUCACAUUUUAUAGAAUAUUAUAUUUUAAUUAUUUUCCCUUAUAUUGUCAUAUUAUAUCCAAAAUUGUCAAAAUCAAUCAAAACUUAUUUGUAAUUUUAGCAACUACUAGUAACCCACUCCCACUCAUAAUAAGGAAGCAAUUAUCCAUCUGAUCACAUAUUUUUGGUGUGACAAAAUUAUGCCAUAAAUAGAUAUUUGCCAAAUUAAAUAUCAUUGAUUGUGAAUAUGCUUUUACAUAAUCUUUAAUAUAGGGUAAAUUAUUAAAAUAGUCGCUUUUGUUUACCUCAUGUUAUAUAUUUUAGUCACUUAUGCUUGAAAUGUUAUGUUUUAGUCACUUACGUUAUCGCAUUGUAAUAUUUUAGUUACUACGUCGUUAAUUGUCGUUAACGGUGUAAAGGUAAGCUGAUGUGGCAUGUUAAAUCAUCAUUUCAAACAAAAAUUUUAGGUUAAUUUAUACAAUCGGUCCCCAUAUUUUUUCGUUUUGAACAAUUUAAUUUUUUUUCUUUUAUGUUCUUUUAACUUUCCUUUUUUUUUUCUUUAUUUUCCAUUCUCUUUUGCUUCACCCUCUGUUUUCAUCCCUUAUUCAUUUAUUUUAAUGUAGUUUUUCUAUGUUUUCCAUUUGAUAAAAUUAGUCCACAAGCUCGCCUCAAUCGAAAAAAUUAUAUUGUUCAAAAAAAUAAAAGUAUAAAGACUAGUUUUAACAAAUGGAAAACAUAGAAAAAAACUACGUUAAAAGAAAUGAAGAAGGGAGGAAAACAGAGGGAGAAGCAGAAAAAAAAGGUUAAAAGAACCUAAAAGAAAAAAUUAAAUUGCUCAAAACGAAAAAAUAUGGGGACAGGUUGUAUAAAUUAGCCUAAAAUUUUAUUUUGAAAUGAUGAUUUAACAUACCACAUCAGCUUAGCAUUACACCGUUAACGACAAUUUACGACUCAGUGAUAAAAAUAUUACAAUACAAUAACGUAAGUGACUAAAAUAUAAUAUUUCAAACAUAAGUGAUUAAAGUAUACCCUGAGGCAAACAAAUAUGACUAUUUUAAUAGUUUGCCCCUUAAGCUUCUAUUUUUUUCUUCUAUUUUAGGCCAUCAUAUCUUGUUUUUCUAAAUUCAAUCAUUUCCCCUUCUAUUUAUCAAACAAAUUAUUAUUAAUGUUUUAUUUUUUUUUUAUCUAUCUCUCUUUUUUUUUUUAUCAAGUUUACCUUUAUACCUCUCACAUUUGGAGGUUUAUUUUUUUUCCAGUUAAAUAAAAAUAAUUAUUAUUAACUUAUAAUUGAUUGGGUAUUAAUUUAAUUGACAUUAAUUACGUAACAUCUACCUUAAAUGAAUGUAAUUAGUUAGAGGUUUAAAAGGUUAAGGGUUGAUUAGGAAAUAUAUAUAUAUAUAUAUAUAUAUAUAUAUAAGUAAAUAUGUAAAAAUGAAAUAUUAUGCAUUUUCAAUGAAACUUCAAUUUUAUUUUUAUUAUUAAUAGAAUUUGAAAUUAAGCAUAUAAGACUUAACCAUCUAUUAUUAAAAUUUUAAAACCUCAUCCUUAAUAUGGCUGAAGUAUGUAUGCAAUACUUAUAUGCUAAAAGAAUGCAAUUUAGUUUAUGUAUAAAAUAAACAAAGAAUUUAUUUAUUAUUCCUUUGAUAUUGGUGCAAACAAUCAUAUAAAAAUUUAUGUCAGCAUUUAUACAGUUUUUCAUUUGUUUGCACAAUGUCAAAUGUAUUCAAUUUAAAUUACUAAAUUUUAAAAAGUCAGAUUAAAUUAACUUCAUCUUCUUUUAAAUGACAAAGUAAGUGUUGAGAUAGAAACAGUUCAUGGAGGAAAGAAAGAGAUCGUGGAAUUUAACACACAUGAAACAUGCAACAAAAUAAAAUAAAUCAAGCAAAAACGAAGUUGAUGUCGAUGCAUAAGCAAUUGUUGAGAAACCCUUUAUUGCAUGCCCCUCAAACUAUUCCACCUCCUUUUGGUUUUGGUGAUGUUAUUUGGUUAUGAUGAUGUGAUUCAUCAGUGUAAUAAGAGACUGAAUAUCCAUUGAGAUCGGGGGAUAUCUCCAAUGUAUGCCAUUGUUGAGUCCUAGGGGAAUUUCAUGAUCAUGUUGUCCUUUGACCAAAAGCAAAAUGAUUGUAAAUAUUAUAUGAUGAGUGCAGUUCCAAAACCCCUUGAUGCAAAGAUCCUUACCAAGGAGAAUACUCUUUUGCUGUUUGUCUAGUUUGAUGUUUAGAUAGAUGUUUGACUAGAAAUGUGGAUACUACAAAGGCAGUAAACAAAUAAGAGAAGGAGAGAUAUAGGAACACAAAUUUUGUUAAUUCAAUUCGGAAAUAAUCCUAUUACUUAGUAAAUGAUUCAUUCUAGUAACCUAUUGACUAGCCUAAUCUAUCCUUACACAAGAAGUAAUUGCAACCUAAUAGAUAACCUGACUUGUUAGAAUCACUCACCCAAAUAACCUCACUUACAAAACUAUAAACUGAGUGCCAAAUCCGAACAAAAGCCUAACAACAAAUACAAAACAAUGUAGUAUCAACACCCUCUAAAGGGCUUGUCAAACCAAGCAUAUUAAUAGCUUCCCUUAACAAAUUUUGUGGAGAUAAAAUUAUCAAUUUAAUGCAUAAUAGUCGUGGAUAAUAUACUCCAAUAUCUAUUCCAAAAUACAGCCUUAUCAGCCAAGAAAAAUCGACAACUUAAUUACUAAAAAUAGCUUAAAGGAUAAGGAUACUUCUUAUUGGAUAAGGCAAGUUUGAUUUCCAAGAUUCUUCAAUCAGCCAAAUUUGAUCAUCAUUUUUAAUGACGAGAUAAAACAUGUUUUGGGAAUCAUUUGCUUAUAGAGAAACCAAUAUGGAGGUGAAAGUAAAAAAUGCCAACAUCCAACUUGACUUGAGUUGUUUAAGAUUCAUGUCUAAAUUACUGUCUAAAGGUUUAUCUGAACAUCUAUUUAAACAUGAACGUGUUGAACAUGAGUUGAAACAUUAGCAACGAGAUAGCUAAAGUCCCAACAAUCUCCCCUUUUGACUUUUGACAAAACAUAAGCAAUUGAUCAAAACUCCCCCUAUCACCAUGCCAUAAAAACAUAUGAGAUACCAAAAACAAAUCAAUAUAAGUAACUCAUAAUAGAUGUUAUCCAAUACAUCAAAAUAAACUAGUAUCAACUUAUCUCCUCCUUUUUGUUAAAAGGCCAAAAGGCACCCUAUGUCUAUUAUAUUCUAGCCUCUAUUUGAAUAGGUCUUUGAAUAGCCAUGUUCGCUUCAUUCAACCUCUCCUUCAAAAAUUCUAUUAAUGAACCUCAAACUAGCCUUCAAAUGAAUUUAUCAUUUGUAAAUGUGUAAAACUCUUUAAUUUUACACAGGUGUAAGUAGAUUCCUCUCCUUAAAGGGGAAUAAAGCAACAAAUUUAGCAUUUCUUAUAAUUUCAUAAGCAUGCAUAUAAACAAAGACUUCAUCUAUAUUAGCAAUUACAACUCCUAAAAUUUUAACUAUUCAUUUAGAUAAAACAAACCAUGUAACAAGUAAAUUGAUCUACAUCUUUGAAUGAGCUUUUUACAAAUAAAAGAAAAUGUUUGAACUUACAAGUUAGAACUAUUAAAUUCCUCUGCUUGUUUCUCAUAAAUUUUCUAUGUUCCAUCAAACCUUUCAUGCUUAAAAAAGCAUUAAGAGAUUGACAAUUCAUAAUAGUAAAUUACACCCAACGUCAUUGGUUACUCAAUUUCAAAAAGUUACAAAUUAAUCAUUAGAGUAUUUGAAAAUUUUUAUAUAAGUCAUUAAAUUAUUCGAAAGUUUUUAUUUAAGUCACUAGGUUGUUAAUAUUUUUUUCUAAAGUAUGGCUAACGAGCUCUAAACAAUAAUUCAAAUAUCAGUAUGGUUGAUUAGUACACAUCAACAAGUAGAAAAACAUACCUUAGAUCCAAGUCGAUUUGACGAUCAAUGUUGGAGAUCAGAGAAGAAAGCUGUUUAGAUUUUGGUUCAUAGAAUUGUGACAUUCAAAGAUGUUUUAUGAAAAAAAAAACUAAAUUGUAGAAGAGAAGAAGAAUGAGAGCUUUUGAUUGGUGUAGGGAGUGCGAAUAGGGAAGACCAUACAAUAGUGAUUUUAACAGCUAGUGACAUAAAUGAAAACUUUUGUAUAAUUUACUGACCAUUUUAUAACGUUUUGAAGUUGAGUGAACAAAACGUAAAUUUACUAAUAGUUUAAUGAUUAUAAAAUUUUAACUAUUAUAAUACUUUCUAAAUGAAAAGGUGAGGUCGAAAAUCAAAUACCCAUUUCUCUUCAUGAAUUUCAUGUCCCUCCACACAAAAAGUUUAGCUGACCAAUAGCCAACUUUAUAUCUUUACACAAAGUUGAUCACAAAGUCAUGAACCACUACUUUUACUGAGCCACAAAGAAAACAAAAAUAAAAGAGAAACGAUUAAUCCAUGUUUUGUGACACUAAUGUAGAUAUUUUUUUAAAAAAGAAAAUUAUAAUUAAUGUACUAUUUUUCAAAUUGAUUAAAUAAUAUUAUAUUAAAUAUAAAUAUUUUAAAAACAAUUUUUUAAUAUUUAAACCCAAAUUCAUUUUUUUAACCAUCUUUAACCGAUCUUUAACAUAAAAAAAUGUUGAAAAAGCUAUGUGCUUCUAUAACUUUUUAUAAAAAAAAUUAUUAUUUUAUAUAAAAAGAUAAAAAUUCUGGUAGCACUGACUAUGGAUUUUGUCCCCUAAACAAAUAUGCAUGGUGAUAGAGCGGCAGCAUAAUGGUAACUUUAUGCCUCAUGUGUCUCUUUUUAUUUUCUAUUCAACAUCUUUAUGCACUUCCGGCUGUCACGUGAGCAAAGCCACUUUUUUAAUUAAUCAAUUAAUUACUUCUUUUUUUUUGGGAUUUUCCUUUGACCACUAAAAUAUAAAUAGGGUUUUGGUUGCCUUUGAGGAAAAGCUUUUGUGAAUUUCAGUAAUUUGCACUUUAGUCACCACCUAAGCACUAACUUUGUUAAAAUGGCUGAGAUUCCAAUAACAUUAACCCACUUAACAAAUUAAAGGGGGAAAAACAAAAGAUGCUUUGUGUUUCUUAUUCUUUUAGUGGAUUCUGCAGCAAAAAUGAGACCCACAUAUCCCUCAGGUAGCGGCUACUUCGCAAUGUUGGAAGAUGAUAUAUGAAUCGAAUAUUUAUUUAAAUUUUGGAAAUUAUUAUAUGAAUAUUUUUUUAUUUUUUUUAUUUCAAUAAGUAAAAUAUAUUAAUAAAUUAAAUUAAUUUUUUUUUUGUAUAUUAUACAUGUCUAAUUUCUAUACAAUCAACUAAUGCAAGUUGAAUAAUUAACUCAAUAAUUGAAUUGACUAUAACUAAGGGAAUCCACACAUUCGAACUUAGGACAUUAAAAUUGUCGGAGUCUAAUCUUGCCAUUGAGCGAAUGCUUCAUUGGCCUUAAUAUUGUAAGUUAGAAGUUUAGAAUUGUUGUAUUAUAUGAUAUAUGGCUAAGGUUCAACACUAGGAUAAGCCCAAGAGAACUAUUAUUAUGAAAAAUUAUUACUCUCUCCAUCCUAUUAAAUUUGUCAUAUAUGUUGAACUUAUAUCUCUUUCUUUAAAAUGUAUUAUGAAUAAAUAUUUUAAAAUAUAUAUUAUAAAAACUUUCAAUGAAGUAGUUUUUGAAUAUAUGCUAGGCUAUCUACUUCACUGGCUACCUCCUGACAAUGGUGAUUUUCUACCCUAUUGUGUUAGGGGUGAUUACUAACAAAUAGUAAUAACAAUUAUUCGUCCCUGAUGAAUGACUUGUGGCCACGAUUUAUUUUCCAUAAUCCAUAUAAUGCCAGUGACAUGAUAUUAUUUACUCUCUAUCCGAGCUAUGAAUUCUACUAUUGUAAGUGAAGUCAUUCCAUACAUAAGUCACAUACUCAACACACAAACUUUCAGUUUUGAGGUCAAUGGAACACAAGUUUUCGAUAUACUAAAGUAUAUGAGUUAGGUACACAUGGUCAAUCACUUACUUAAUAUUGAGGCAAGUCAUGUCGUAAACAUCACAAGUGAAUAAAUCCAUAAACGAAUCCAAGAUAAAUUCAACUUGGGCCUUGUCUAAUAUACCAUCAAUUCAGACAAUCACACCUAUGCUUCUAUUUUUUGGGAGUCAUCUCCUUUGAUAACCAAGACAAGAUAUCUCCUCCAUUGAACUUAACAGUUGACAUAAUAGUCCCUUGAAUUAAAUGUUCAUUUUGAUUCCUCAGACUAUGGACGGUUUAGAUUACCUACUAAUAUAAUUUAUCUUCCCACAUCAUAUUCCAUCCAUAUGAUGCAACUUAAUAUUAGUUAAACUUUAGGUAAUUGAUGAGCUAAUAUUUGCUUAUUAUUCUUUUCUUUUCAUUAAAAAAUCAUUGAGGACAAACAUACAAAAAUAAUAAUGUUAAAUAUGGAAUUUUAUUUAACUAACAUAUUCGAAAAAUAAUGAUGUUAAGAAUUAAUUUUUAGAGUUAGGACUAACUGACAGAUUUUGUAAAUGUUGAGGGUUAAAUUUACUGGAUUUUUAUAGAAUUAGAACUAAGAUGACAAUUUGUAAACAUGAAGGCUAAAUUUGUUGAAUUUUUUUUAUAUUUUGGAUCAAAUUGAUAGAAUAUGUAAGCAUUAGAGGGCUAAUUUUGCUACUAAACCAAUAAAAAAACCCACAUAAGCUCAAAGUGACUAAAAUAUUUAAUUUUGAAAAGUUUAGUGAUUAAAUUGAAAAAAAAUAAUUGUUGGGUGACCAAAAUAGAACGAAAGGCAUCAUUGGGUGACCAUUUUUAUAGUUUAUCCAUAAAAAAAAUAAUUUUCUGCAUAUUUACGUCAUCAUUUAAUAGAAAAAAAAUUACACCUUUCAAAAUGUAUAAAGGUUAAUUUAUUUAUAUUUUAGUAAAAUGAACUGAAAUGUAAUCCAUCCUUAAAUAUAAAGAUUUCCAUAAUACUUUUACACGUGAAAUCCAUUUUAGAUUUGUACUAAAAGAAAAACAUAAUUUUUUUUUCUCAAAAACACAAAAUAGUGAUAAUCGUGGGCAAAUUACUAAUAAAAGCCGUUUUUUUCAAAAUUUACCGAAAUGGGCCGAUUUUUUGAUUAUUUACCGGAAUGGACCAUUUUCCGCGAAAUCGCGUCCACGUCAGCGCGAUGUCAGGGUACGCGUCAGGACAUCGCGUCCACGUCAGCGCGAUUUGCUUACGUGGACACAAAUCGCGCCUACGAGGACGCGAUUUGCUAACGUGGAUGAACAGUUUAUGUUUUUAAGCUUGGAAAACUUUGAAAGGCCAUAACUUUUCGCUCGGUUGUCCGAUUGAGACGAUUUUUUUUAUUUCGAAUAAAUUUUUGAGAUCUACGCGCUGGAAAAUGGUCGAAGGUGGUUUGCCAAAGUUUUCAUCAAAAAAGAUCUUUUUUUGUCCCUAAAUUUUGAUUUUUUCGGUUUAAAAUUGAAUUUUGAAACAUUCAAAUUAUUAUUUUCCUUAUUUAUUUGAAGUAAACACCGGAUAUUUUUUUACAGAAUUGUCUUGUAUCAUCUUGUUAUAGGUAUAAGUCAGCUCAUUCCACUUUUGAGAAGUUCCCUAAAAUUUUCCAUUUUAUUCAAUUUAGUCCCUAAAACCUAAAUAGUCAUAUUUUCAAAUCUAAGCUUCUUUUUUCAAUUCAAAUUCAAUUUCAUCCUUCCAUAACAUUCAAAUAUUCUUAAAUACAAAAAUUUCAUGCUAAUUUUGAAAUAAUUACACUUUAGUCCCUAUACUCGUAACUAACAAAUUAUACUUUACAAAUUAGUCCCUAUUCAUCUCUAAGAAGUUUGUCAGCGCGUAGAUCUCGAAAAGUUAUUCGAAAUAAAAAAAAUCGUCUCAAUUGGACAACCGAGCCAAAAGUUAUGGCCUUUCAAAGUUUUUCAAGCUAAAAAAAUAAACUGUUCAUGCCACGUCAGCAAAUCGCGUCCUCUAAGGCGCGAUUUCCGUCCACGUCAGCAAAUCACACUGACGUGGACGUGAUUUCCUGGCGCGUACCCUAGCAUCGCGCUGACGUGGACGCGAUUUCGCAGAAAAUGGACCAUUCCUGUAGAUAAUUAAAUAGUUGGCCCAUUUCGGUAAAUUUUGGAAAAAAAAGGGCUUUUAUUAAUAAAUUACCCGAUAAUCGUCUCAGUUCUAAAAUGGAUAAUACCUUCUAAUAGACGUGAUUUGUGUUGCAACAUCGCAAGUGACACAUUGAAUGUCACAACACUUGGAGCGAUGCAAGCGUGUGUGGUGUUGUAGAUUGAAAUUUUGUACUAGUAAUUACGUUUUUAUGGGAUUUAGCUGCAAUAAAUAUAGGGAUUCUAUAUGUCUGUAUGGAAAGUAGAUAAUUAUAAGUUCUAAGAUUGUGGGAUUCUAAGCUUUUCUCAUUAAGGAUAUAUUAAGGUGAUAAUUUUAGGAAUUGUCUAUUAUUAACUCUGCCUUGAAAUCCCGAGGAUGAAACUUUGGCAAGUUGACUACCUCAUCAUGCAGUUUAAUGAAUUAUGAAAAUUGAUGGCAGGUAUAUUUCCAAAGAGAAUAAUUUUGUUGUUGAUAGUUUGACUAAGUUGAACUUAGAGUGAAAAUCAGAACUAUAAGCUUAUGAAGGCAACCUAAUGAAAUCUAAUAAAAUCUUGGAAGUGCUAAAUAAAGAGCAAAUCCGGGUGCUUUUGAUCUUUUUUAAUUUAAUGUAAUUUCUUUAUUUUUCUAAAAAAAAAAGGUUGCCCUGCAAGAAAUAUAUCAACUUUGGGCAUCAAAUUCAUUUGUUAAAAGGAAUUCAUUGAUGCAUUCUGAGAUUUGUUGAUUGUAACUUCUGGGACAAAGACAUCUAAAGACAAAGGAAUCUUGCUAAGCAUCCAUAAAAGCCUAUGACAACGAGGGUAGAAUAAUUUUAGGUAAGAACAAAGUCAGAAAAUUAUUUAAGAGAUCAACAAAUAUGAAUUAUAAAUUUUUUGAAUUUUUAAAAGGUCUAAUUGGUAAAUUUACCAUUUUGGGAUGAAGACUACAUCCUACCCCUUGUCUUCCUUCCUGAUCUUAGGAAAUCUUAAAAUAAUUAAAUGGUUUUUUAUAUAAAUAACUUAAAAUUAUUAAUUAAUUACGAAAAUAAUUUAGAAGAAAAAAUAUAUACAAAAAUGAUCUGUUUACUAUCGUACCUGUUCGUGUCACCUAAGCAAUCGGUGGCACCACUCCCCUUUUUCCUUUAAUCAUGACCCAAUUAUUAAUGUUUAAUUUUUUUUUUAGUUUAUCUAAAUUUAAAUAUUUUCAAUUCAUUUCCUAGCAUAUCUGAAUUUAAAUAAACUUGAAAUUUUUUUUGAGGGAUAUAUUUGAAAAAUUAUAUUAAGAAUUUUAUAUAGUUUUUUAAUUUUAUUGUUUUAAAAAAAACUAAAAAAAUGUGAAGGGUUUAUUUUUUUUAUUCUUAUAUAAUUUAAGGACUAUUUAAAUUUAAUUUCAAAAGGGAACAAACCUAACAUGCAAAUAGACCAAAAGUUGAAAAUAAUUUAAUUUUGGCUGCCACAAGGGCACCCUUUUUUCAGCCACUCUAAAAGAGGUAAUUGCUUCGUCAAGUCUCUGAACAAUUUAUAUAAUCACACUUUAAUCAGUAUUACAACUAUGUCAGGCGGCAUCACUAAUUUUUUUUUUAAACAUUGAUGAUAGAGUUAUGAUUAGAGAGAAAAAGUGGAUGGUGAUCUCAAUUGGUCAGGCUACUAUAACAAAUGAGUCAUUUUCAUAUAUAAUAUUUCCUUCAGACUACUUUUAUAAUUAAUUAAUAUUUUUAAAUUAUUUAUAUAAAAAAGUUUUAAUUAGUAAACUUAAUAAUUAGACAAAACUUGCAUAGGUAAAUGUGACUAUUGAACUGCAUAAAGAGCUUUUAUUAAGCUUUUAUUUCAGAAUAUUAUUAGAAGAUUUACACCCUUAUAAAUAACACAGCUAGUGCAGAGACUGUUAAAACUUUUUGAGCAUCCAGAAGGGGCAGAACCAAACACAUAAGUUUCCAAGAUAUGAAAGAAAAUCAAGUAGAUUGGAGCAAGGUGUAGGUUAUCCUAUCUGCAGAGGCUAUCAAUAGUUUGAAAUUCAAUAAAAAAAGUAAAUUUAAUCAACACAUUAAUGAUUACCUAUCUUUUGAAAAAGAAUAAAAAUUAGUGAAUAGGAAAAAAAGUUGAAAGAAAGAUACUUUUUGGUUGUGAACCACAAAAAUAGUUUAUCGAAUCAUUUUAUUGAGAAAGUAAAAAAGAGGUGUCCAGCGACAAAGGAACCCGAAGGGGACCCCUACACAUUAUAAAGGGGCUUGAUUGAACAUAUAUUUUAAAGUGAAAAUUUUCAUGCACGUAGCAAUCUUAUAUCGGCUUUUUGGGAUUCCCUUUGCCUACUCAAGAUUUUGUAUCUUUUGCAAUAUUUUAAUGUCAUUCGAUGAUGUCAUAUAUCUAAUAAGUGUUUCAAAAUUAUUUCAUUAACAUUAUUGUAUUUUUAUUUCAUAAUUUUAGAUUUAUGAGAGAUUUUGGUUUAUUUUCACUCAUAACCCGAAUUUUUAAAUUGAAGAAAAACGUGAUUAAGUAUAUUUAAAUUCACGUCUUCUUUAUUGAUGCGAUAGUAAUAAUGCUAAGUAAUCUUAGAGACAAUGGACGAUUUCAAUGUAAAAUUUGAAAUCUAAAUUUAAAAAUAAUAAUUUAUAUGAUAUGUACAAGAAUUUUAUUUUUUUUCUUAGAAUUAGUUUGGUAUUUCAAUUAUCUCUAUGGAUAUAAUAAUUGGUAUUUUAUUUUUUCUCUUUAAAAUUUGUAAAAUUUCAAGUUAAUAAAAUGAUAAAAUUACAUUUUUGACACUUUGAAAUUUAUAAUUUAAUUUUAUCUCUUAAAAUAAUUUCUUGAUUUCUCCCCUAAAAAAGUUUUGAAAUCCCUGAAAUAAAUUUAUUAGAUAUACAAAAAAUACAUGUAAUUAUAAUAAUAUUAAAAAAGUCUUAAAUUAAAAUCGAAAUUUAGCUAUGCAAAAACUAUAAAAGAUGGUGGUAUUUACUAAAAAUUUCUAAAUCUCAGUAUACACAAUCCCUUCUAUCCUAUUGCAAAGUUGAAACUUUUUGUACCAAAAACUAAUAAAUUUUACAUGAUUAUGAAAGAAACAUAUAGAAUAAUCCUAUAAACAUGCUUUGUGUGUGUAUAUAUAUAAAUAAUAUAUAAUAUUCUAAUUCUCAUUAUUAAUUCCUUAUUCUAAAAUGUUUUUUUGUUCUAAGCCACAAACAAAGGAUAGAAAUGAAGGGAAAAUGUACCUUUUAUCUUGGUGACACAACACCUUACGAGAUUCCUCUAAGAAGCCUAUAUUCCAUUUCAUUUUAGUGAAAAAUGGAAACUAAUUAAUUAGAGAAUGGAUAUAAUUUUUAACUCUUAAAUUUAGCAAUUAGGUUCACUUUGAUACUUGAAUUAGACACUUAGGUCUAUUUUGAUCCCUGAACUUUAAAAAUAUAAAGGUUUGAUGAUGUGCCACUUUGAGAUAGUGCCCCAUCAUCACUUGAAAAUUAAAAAUUUAUAUAAUUUUUUAGAUGUUGAUGUGAUACAAUCUUAGAAUUAAUGUCAUGUUUGGUGUUUUAAUAACUACAUUGAUGGUUGAACAUGUUAGAUUACUAAUUCUCAAUUCAACCAGUUCGACCAAUUCGAUCGUCGGACCAACAAGAAUUAAAUAUUAAUAAAAUCUAAAAUAUUAAAAAUUUAUUAAACUGGUUCAACCUAUCCAACUGUCGAUUUUUGUCUUGAUUUUUAAUCUUUGCCAAUUUCAAGUGGUUUCCAAGUUAAUCGAUUCAACCCCUUUGUUUGGACUAUUAUAUUGAUUAAUUUUUGGGAGGAUCGAUUUGGUUGUGUUCCAGUACAUAUAUUGGUCACAUCAUCAAAUCUUGACAAAAUCGAAAUUCAAGAGCUAAAAUUAAUCUCGAUGUCAAGUUCAGAGACCAAAAUAGACUAAAAAAUUAGUAUAGAUAUUACCACAACCAACCUAAUUACCAAAUUCAAGACCGAAAAUUAUAUUACCCCAUUAAAGAAUGAUGGGAUAAAAUUGGGACCAUUUUCUUCAUCCAUCUCAUUGAUUAUGACAUCACAAAUUUUCAACCACUAGGGAAUAUAAAAUAAAUACAUAAUAUAUCAACAUUAAGUUCCAAGGAAUUUCAAUCUUCCCUCAUUUUUUAUUACGACAAUUGGGGAAUAUGCCUUGUAGAGAGAACAAUUGAAUUUUGGUUUUAAUUUAUAAUUAAUAGUUUAGCUUUUAUAAGUAUGAAAGUAGAAGGAAACAAAACCAAGUGAAGAAUUAUUUGCAAACUUUACUUUUGAGUAAUGGGUGGAGAUGGCCACCUUCACCAGGUGGUCCUUUAGAAUUGAAGUUAUAACUUCAAAACAAAAAACAAGUGAAGAAAACAUGAGUAGGUUAAACAAAUAAAUAUAAAUAAAAGGCAUAAUGUCAAAUUUAGUUUUCAAUAUUUACAUAUUUUAUCGAUUUAAUCCUUAAUUUUUUGAGUUAAAUUUGAUUCUCAGUCUUUUAAAAAAUUCAAAUUCAAUCACCAACAUUUCAAAAAGAAUAACUAUUUUUUGACCAAAAUAUUGAAAAUAUAUAUUAAAAUUUUAAAUAUAACAAGCUGCAUAAAAAUUUCGUGUGUACCAACUUAAAUCUCUUGGUAUAAAAGCUUUCACAAGAAAUUCUUCUCCAUCAUGUGAUAUAUGUUCUUUUUGUUUGAAAGCGCAUCCCGAACAGAUCAAAAUUUGACCCUUGUUAAACCCUUUUUUUUUUCUUCAAUUAAAAUUAAUAUUUUAACGCCAAUCCUGGAAAUAGGCAGCGCCGUCGGGCCUGUUUCGGUUCUUUUCAGGAUGGCUUGCGCAUGAUGCCUUUCCGUCACUUGUUAAGGAUAAUUGGUUGACUAAUGAUAUGCUUAGGGAAUCAAUUGAGCGAUUUACUCAGGCUGCGAGGAAAUGGAAUAGAAACGUCUAUGCGCAAAUUACGCAGAGGAAAGAGAAGUUGAUGCGGCGAAUUGCUUGGAUACAAACGGCGUUGGAGUUCCAGAAAUUGGAACGACUCACUCAUCUUGAACGAGACUUACGGGGGGGAACUAGAGAUUACCUUAGAUCAAGAGGAACAUGAAAUAUUUCCAUGGUCGUGCUUCCUCGAGACGUCGACAUAAUAAAAUUAAAGCCCUUGAGCUGUCGAAUGGUGAUUGGCGCUUUGAUGAGGAAUAGUUAAAGGGGUUAGCAGUUUCCUUCUUCCAAUAGUUAUAUACGGUGGACAACCCAUGCAUGAGAAAUAUCUUGUUCGGGGUCAGUGGAGGAGCCACGUUGAGGCCCAGGGGUAUGGCCUCCCAAAGUUUAAUUUUUUUCAAUUUAGUCCUUUGUAAAUUUACACUAUGGUCCUCUCAAAAAUAUAAGUAGAACCCUAAGAUUUAAGAUUUUUGCAAUUUUCCCCUUUGUAUAUAUAUUAUAGCCCUUCUAAAAAUAUAAGUAGGCCCCUCCAAUAUUUUUAUAGGAUUAAAACUAAUAUUAAAAAAUUACUCUUGAUAAAAACAAAGAGUUUUUUGAAGAAGCUAAAUUGCUUUUUAUGACUUUUGAAUGAUAUCUUUGUUAAAUAAUAAAUUAAUAUUUAUUUAAUAGUUUACUUAACAUAAUAAUAUUUUAUAAGAAAUAUAAUAACAUAUAUAAAAAGAAAAGAAAAAAUGAAAAGACUUUUAUCAUCUUUCUUCUCCAUAUUGGUGUUGUCGAAAUCCUUUUUUUUUGAAAUUGACUUAUAUUUUAAAAACGAAGAUGGAGUCGCCACCAAUCUUUUUUUAUGAGGUGUCAUCGGUUCACCUCGUAAUUUAAUUGUUUUAAUAAAAGGUUUGAUUUACUAAAACAAUGUUUUUUUUCUUGUCUACAAAAUCCAAGAAAUGAGUUUGGGAGUCGGUUAUGCACGAGGAAGGGUUAGCACCCUUUUAACGCCUAAAACUGGUACCUAGUUAAUUAAUUGGUGUCUUAAUGUCAAAAGUUGGAAACUCGAAAAAAGUUCAAAAUACGAUCUCUCUUUGUAUUAAUGUAUUUUUUUUAAGUAAAAUCCCUUGAAUAAGUCAAAACGUGUGUAAAAGGCCCUCUUAUCUUGAGGUAGCAAAAAUGCCAUAUCCCGUAAGUUAGGACACACCAUUUCGAAUCCUCGAAAAUAAGCUUGCUCUUUAUUUAAUUAUUAUUUAAAUCUCAUGUGAUUUAAUUUUGAAAGGGAUGUUCGACUAUCUAGGUUCAAAGAGAAAGUCGAUCCCCGUAAGUUAGGGCUCGACUUCUUGAAUCUCCAAAUGCAGAACAUUGCUUUGAUUUUAAAAAUUUCCUUUUUAUGCAUCAAGUAGAAAUUAAUGUAACAUUUUAAAAGGGUAUAUGUUUAAUUUAUUCAGGCAUAGUAUGAAAAAUGAACAAAUAUUUUUAAACGUAACGUAUAGUACAAUAAUAACGAAAAAUAACUAUACGGGUAGAAUAUUAAAAUGAUAAUAAUAAAUUAUAAAUAAUAGAAUACUAUAAUAAUAAUGAUAUAAUUAUAAUAGUGAUAACAAUAUUAAUAAUAAGAUCAAAAUAAAUAAGGUAACUUAAAAUAAAAAUGAAAAUGAAAAAUGCAUAAUUUAAAAAAAGAUAAAUAAACAUAACAUGAAUAUAUUAAAAAUAAAUAAAGAAAUAAUAAAAUAACAAGUACAAAUAAAAUAAAAUAAAAAUGACGAUAAUAAAAAUGCCCAAAUCAAAGAGUAUAAACAAUCUAAAAAAAAAUAAAGAAGUAAGAAAUAAAUAAAUAAAAUAACAAAAAAAUUAUAGAAGGGUUGGAAUUAAAUAAACAAAUGAUUAAAUUGAAAUUUAAAUGAAAUUAAGGGUAUAAAUUGUAAAUAAUAAUAUAGGCUAAUAAGGAUUAAAAUGUAACACGCUAAAAAUAUCCCUUGUCCUUAUGCGCACCAUUUCUCAGGGGGACUAAAAUAAAACAAAAAUAAAAUUGUAUGGUAAAAUUUUAAAUAUAUAAAAUAUAGAUAGGACUAGAUUGAAAAAUAAAUAAAAGGAGGAAGGUUCGGGACCGCAAAUAACCCAGUUUUUGCGAAAACACGCAAAUCUUACCCAUUUUCGGGUCAAGUCUCGAGUUUGAGUCAAAAUGACGUCGUUUUGACGUCUAAAAAUCGGCCUAAAAUGGUGUCGUUUAGCACCACUUAUUUAAGCUGAAUUUUUUAAAAAAAAAACACUUCUCUCUUCCGUUUUAAAAAAACCGAACCCCUUUUUUUUUCUCUCAAAGUCUCUUCUGGUCGGCCAUGGCUCCGACGAAUCACCGCUGCAUCGGCCACCGAUCAUGUAAUUCCCCAAAAUUUUAAUUUUGGGUAUUGUGAAUGUGUGACACAAAAUAUCUAUUUGUUUUAGUGGUUAUGUGUUCUGGGUGUGUUUGGAAGGUCCCAAGUUCAAGCUAGGACUUGGGAAAAUUUUGGUACCUUUAUAAAUAAGCCCUAUCUUUGGUUAGUAGGCUUUUAAGUAAAUGUUGGCAAAUAAUUGUAGAAUGGGCUUACUGGUCUGGUGGAUAAGUGGAGUGUAGGUGUGAAGAAGGUCUUGUGUUUAAAUCUUGGCGUGGGCAUUAUUUUUGCUCGUGCAUCCAGGAGAGUUUGAGAUGAACUAAAAAUCUAAGUGGUGGAUUUAGUAGGGAGUUCGAUGGAGAGAAAUAAGGGAUUGGGGUGGUUAUCAAAUAUUCUUUUCAUCUUUUUUUUUUGUUUCCUUUUUUUACUUUCCCCAAAAUCCCUCCACCCUCUUGCCAUUUUUCUCUUCACUGCUGCCAAAUUUCUGCUCUCUUUCACCCUUCAUCUUCUUGAUUUUUCAUUUCCCACUCUGCCUCGUGUCGCUCCACGUUUGUCUGCGAUCAUUCAGUAAAUUUUAGAUAAGUGAUUUGUCUGCGAUCGUUCAGUAAGUUUUAGAUAAGUGAUUUGUCUUUGUUUGUUAACUUUGUUUUGAAGUGUUUUGUUUAUGCCAAUUAGGGGAGGAUUCAAGCUAGGGCUUAUAAUCACCAAUCAGAGUCUUAGUUUGUGCGGGAAUUACUGUUCAUCGAUUGAAGAUAAGGUUUAGUCGCUUAUGGGUUAAAACCUCAAUACGAGCUCGAAUUGGGAUCACGUUAUGUGAGAUUAAAUUAGUGUUAUUUGUUCAAUUAUAGGUUUUGGAGUGCUCGGGGACUGUUUUAGCAUCAAACGAAACUAGGUGUGUACCCGAAACGUAGAAAAUGAGAUUUGGCGAAAAGCCAAAAUUGCUUGCUGUUUGGACAGCAGCAGUAUGCUAACUUUGAAAAAUCACCAUAAAUUGUGGAAAUCGAAUUAGAGGAUGAAAAAAUUAUGGAAUUAAAUAUUAUUGAGUCUAGUUUCUCAUAAAAGAAACGUGUAAGUAAUGAAAUUGUAAAUCAUGAGAUACAAUAAAUUUUGUGAGACAAGGUCAGAAUGAAUUCAGGUUCCCCUGUUAUGACUUUGAAAAAUCAUAAAAAAUUGGAGAAAAAUAAUUAGGGGUUAAAAUUUACAUGUUUAAAUUAAUAAUGAGUCAAUUUUCAAUAUAAACAAAUGGAAACAUCAUUCAAGUUUUGUACUAAGAGAUAAUUAAUUUUUAUCAAGGAAAGGUCGAAGCUGUCAAACAGCAGAAUAGGGGUAAGUUUUAAGAUUUUACUGUACUUAUUGGCUGAACAAAAAAUUCUAAAAAUUUUAUGGUUGAAAGAUAUUUGAGUCUAGUUUAAAAAAAAUCAAGCGGAUCUUAAUGUGGAAUUCUGUAGCUCAAGAUAUAAAUAAUUUAGUAACAGUGACUCAAGUAGACAGCUUUGAAGGAACAUAUAAGUAAAUAGUGAAAUAUAUAUAAAUAUUUAGCUAGCACGGGUUACAUUAAAAAUGGACCACGCGGCCAAAGACAAUUUGGGUCGAGUGGGCCACACAAGCGUGUAGGCCCAUACGGGCAGACCACAUGGGCGUGUGAGCUCAUUUUCACUAAAUUGAUUGCUAAGGUUGCACGGGUCUCCCAAGUCGACUGUGAACCUACUGUAGGGUCGGUAACCAUCACUUAGACCCCUAAUUGUAUGAACUGAUUGUUUGAUUUAUAUAUGUGUUGAGCAUGAUGAUAGUAUACUUGUAUACUGAACUGGUUAUAUGUACUGAUGUCCUGAGAUAGCAUGUCAUGACUUGUAUGUUGCAUUGCAUGGGGUGGGUUGACUAUAUUUAGAGGAAGUGUAUUGAAAGACUUUUAAGCCUAACAUACUGGCAGCUCAGCUACAAAUUACUGUUUUGUGCCGCUUCUGGUACUACCUAGAGUGUAGGGAUGGGUGGGUUGAUUUAUUCCCCACAUGGAGUGUUGGGUUGGACGGAGAUGGUGUGUAGAGGCUGGUUGGGUAAGACUUUGUUACUGAAUACUGCAUGACUGCUACUGAUACUGUGAUGGGCUAAGACCCUAUUGCUUAUUUGAUACUAUACUGAGAUAAAUUAAGGCCCAAAUUGUUACUGAUACUGAAAAAGGGCUUGGCCCAAGACUGAUUAAACUGUGGACUGUGAUUUGCUAUUGUUUAUUUUCUGUGGGAUCACACAUUGAGUUUUUCGUAAACUCACCCAUUUUGUUUAAAUAUGCACAAGAAAUCCCCAGAUCUAGAUGGAUCAGUGCGGUGAAGGAUCUGGUGGUGACCAAUGUUUUGGACUGUCAAGGUUUUUAACCCAUAUUUACGAUAAUUGGUUAUAUUACUAUUCUAUUUUUACGGGCUAAGUUUUUGGUUUGUAAUUGGACUUUCGGACUUUGGUAUUGGGCUUUAAUUAUCUUUACCUUAUGGAUUGCAACUGCUAGUAGUAGGAAACCUCAGUUUUUUCAAAAGAAACAUAUGUUUUUCCUAAACGCACGAUUGUUUAACUGUCUUAAAAGCUUCUGCAACGAAUCAUGUUUUGAAACUAUUAAUAAAAUGAGCAACGCAAUUUUAGAACUAAUAAAAUAUUAAGAUAAGGAAUUCAAUAGAAGUGGUUUUAAUGCGACGACAGGGUUUUCAAACACCCUAUCAUGUGACAUCACUAGAUCUGGCCAUAACGUCUGGGUCGAGUUUGGGGUGUUACAGGUCACUGUUGAUGGCUCCACCGUCCACAGUGGUCGAAAAAUGCAAAAAAACCCUAUUUUUGCCCCAUUUUUGAAUAGAACCCAAAUCAAGAGUUUAAACCCCAAAAAUCUAACUAACGUUUAGCCGAGGGAAAAGAAAAUGAAAGGUUUUGCCUUUUGUCAGAACCCUAAAAGGUUCUUAGGCUCCUCGAAUUGGUGGAAAGGGCCGAUUCAGCGGUGGCAUCGAUGUAUCUUAGGUAAGAUUCUUUUUAUAUUUAUAUAUAUGUUAUAAUAGAUUCGAAAAGAAAAAAUAAAAAAAAUCACCUUUUGAAGUUUUUUUCGUUUUUUAAUUACUCUUCUCUGUCUAAAAAAAUUACAUGGAUUAUUAUGGCUUUUAUAGUCUAUUUACAUGUUAUAUUUACUAUUUUUUGCUACUAUUUGCUUUCAUUUUUGUUGUCCUUGUUUCUGUCUUUUCAUUUUCUUUUUGCAGGUGACGGUGGAGGGUCUACAACGAAGGAGGCCAUCGUCUUUACUGUUUUGGUGCAAGGGUGGUAGAGGAGCAGUCCUCGAGGCAUGGGCAUCUUCGGGGGAAGUGCCUGUUGACGUGGCAAAGAGAGGCGCGAAUGGGAAUUAGGGUUUCUAUUUUACUAAAUAGAGGUUUAGGUUGUGGGCUUGUUAAUUGGGCUUAGGGUUUUUUUGGGCUUGUAAAAUUAGACUCGGAUUGUUAAAUUAUAUUUUUAUUUUUAUUUUUAUUUUUAUUUUUGGUUUCUCUUUAGGGCCCAGACAAAAUAGGGCCCUUACAGGUGUUUAGCAAGAAAAGAAGAAAAAAAAUUCUCUAUCAUUUUAUCUUUAAAUUUGAAGCACAAGGUAUGUUUUUCUUCAAACUUUUCAUAGAUUUUGGAUAUUUGAAACAUGUUUUACAUAUAUGUACCAAUAGUUUUUUUGUUUUAUCAAGUAUAUUAAAAUUUGCCAUUAAAGGAUAUUUGUGGAACUUGAAAGCUUAUAAAAUUAAGUGAAAUGUGUAUGUUUUUGGAUGAAAAAUGAUUAGGAGACGGUUUCUAACUUGUUAGAAGUGUAAAAAUGAAACAAAAAUAGUUAUAUAAUGUUAUAGUAAGUUUUGGCCAAAGUGAAGGGGAGGAAGAAAACCUUGGUCACCUUGUUUAAAAUUAUGUCAAAUGAUAGCUUGUGAAACAAACGAAAUAAAAAAUGGUUAACCGAGUCAAAUGAUAGCUAUUUCGUCUUAAUUGUUGGAAUAUUGUUUCUUUUGAAUAUAUUUUUUUAUAUGUUUAAAUCGAUUGUCAUGUUGGAAUACUGCUUCUUUUGAAUUGAUUGUUUAUAUAUUUAAAUCAACUGUUACAUAGCACUUUUAAUUUUAACUUGCCCCCUAAGAUUAAUAUCCUGACUCCGCCACUGUCGGGAUUUCUUUCUAUUCCUAGAUAGUGGUGACCUUGUUCAGCUACAUGCAAGGGUGACAAUGGAAGGAAGUCAAGGUUGCACUCUUUGAAAUGGCUAUUCUCAAAGCACCGAAUAUCAGUAGGCUUCAUGUACAGUUUUACCAAAAGGAGUGGGAUGUAGUGGGUGCAUUUUUUUUUUGCCAUGAUACAUGCAAUUUUCAAUAGAGGGAACCUAAAUGAAUUCGUUAAUAAAACAAUGCUAGUUUUGAUAUUGAAAGUGGAGUAUCCUGAGGUUCUAUCUCAAUUUCGCCUAAUAAGCUUGUAAACCAUGCCUUAUAAAAUUCUCACCAAGGUAAUAGUCAAUUGAUUAAAUUCUAUGAUGUCGAUUGGGCCUAAUCAAAUAAGCUUUAUUGCUAAUCAAUGUAUUACAUAUAACAUUAUUAUUACAUAGGAGAUUGUUUACUUUAUGCACGAUGGAAAAAGAAAGAAAGGUUGGAUGACCAUUAAGGUGGAUUUGUAAAAGACAUAUGACUGUUGUUGGAUCGCCGACACCCCUACGACGUAGCGGAGAAAAAAUAAAAUCGGCGAUCCUAACCACGAAUCCAUGUGUGGGAAACGAAUCGGGGUGAUAAAGGUUACGAAAUUACCGAAUGUUUAUUCAAAGUAGACAGCAACGCCUCAGCAACGAGUAGUCUGAUCUACUAUCAAACCCAGCUGCAAUCUAUUGUGAUCCCAGCCUCUACGUAAUCCACCCAGUUGACUAUGAACGGAAGGAAUCCCUAAAACAGUUUUGAAAAGAAUUUUUCUUUGAAGGCUGCUAGACCACAGCAAAGAAAAACGGGAUUCUUAUAUAUAUUUUUUAGGUUUUUUAAAAAUUAAAUAAAUAUAAAUAUAAUAAUAUUUUAAACCAAAAAUUAUAAUUACAUUAAUUAUAAUAUAAUUUCGGUAAACCAUAUAUUUAUUUAAUUUAUAUACUAACCAAAUACAUGUUCUCAUUAUGCGUACAACAACCUUGUACAUAAUGUGUUCGAUAUUUGAUUACGUAAUUAAAUUAAUUCUAUAAUUAAUUUAAUUCAAGAGACAACCAAACACAAUACCAACUAUGUUUUAUUCCGUUCAUUUCGACUAUAAAGUGUGACCCUGUAGGUUCCUAUAACGUUAGCAGUAAUACUAGAACGAUUCCAAUGUUACAAACAAUGAGUGGCAUCUAGCAAUGCAUCAUUGCUACCUAAGUCACAAGAAAUCAUGGUUCGACAUAACCUUUUUAUGAUUAACCUUUUAUGCAUAGUCAUGGAAUAGUCACACUUGCAUAGUCCAUUCCAUGUUCCUUGAUAUCUUAAGCAGACUACGAUAUACAAAUAAGUAUGACAUCUCAUAUCAACUUAUUUGAGCAUGGCCAUGCAUUUCUAGUCUCACUCAAUCAAGUGGCCUAAGAUAUUACUUCUAUUAUGUAGGAGGGGCUUAUCCUAUCUCGAUCAACCAUAUCCCUCUACAUAGAUCGUGGUAUAUCCAACAUCAGCCUUUAUAGAACAACCAGUUACGGUGUACGUUUGACUGUAUCAAAAUAUACAACUCACGAUGUUGGGAUUAUGAUGAUCUCAAGUCUGAGGAUCAUACACAUAUUGAUAACACUCUAGAAUAACGUAUNNNNNNNNNNNNNNNNNNNNNNNNNNNNNNNNNNNNNNNNNNNNNNNNNNNNNNNNNNNNNNNNNNNNNNNNNNNNNNNNNNNNNNNNNNNNNNNNNNNNNNNNNNNNNNNNNNNNNNNNNNNNNNNNNNNNNNNNNNNNNNNNNNNNNNNNNNNNNNNNNNNNNNNNNNNNNNNNNNNNNNNNNNNNNNNNNNNNNNNNNNNNNNNNNNNNNNNNNNNNNNNNNNNNNNNNNNNNNNNNNNNNNNNNNNNNNNNNNNNNNNNNNNNNNNNNNNNNNNNNNNNNNNNNNNNNNNNNNNNNNNNNNNNNNNNNNNNNNNNNNNNNNNNNNNNNNNNNNNNNNNNNNNNNNNNNNNNNNNNNNNNNNNNNNNNNNNNNNNNNNNNNNNNNNNNNNNNNNNNNNNNNNNNNNNNNNNNNNNNNNNNNNNNNNNNNNNNNNNNNNNNNNNNNNNNNNNNNNNNNNNNNNNNNNNNNNNNNNNNNNNNNNNNNNNNNNNNNNNNNNNNNNNNNNNNNNNNNNNNNNNNNNNNNNNNNNNNNNNNNNNNNNNNNNNNNNNNNNNNNNNNNNNNNNNNNNNNNNNNNNNNNNNNNNNNNNNNNNNNNNNNNNNNNNNNNNNNNNNNNNNNNNNNNNNNNNNNNNNNNNNNNNNNNNNNNNNNNNNNNNNNNNNNNNNNNNNNNNNNNNNNNNNNNNNNNNNNNNNNNNNNAGGCGGCCGCUUUGUAUGUUUUGAGAAGGUUGCACAGUCGGUUCGUUAGCUUACUGCGUCAGAGGUUGGCGAGCCCAAGAGACAAAAUGGCGUGAGAUUCGCCAUUGAGAAGCGUUGAUCUAGCAUAAGACGAUCUCACAGAAGCGAUUGUUAGCUAGAGUCAGGUUCCAUCAAAUCGUAAGUCUAAAUCAUUGGAGCUGGUGGUCGUAGGCUUCCUCUUCCACUAUAACUGGCUUAUUUGGUUUGGGAAGGAUCAUCUAAAAGCCGAGGAUUGAACCCAAGGCGGAACGAGACAACUGGAGGCUGGAAUCUCCCAUAAGAAUUUUCUUUCUCUUAACUUUAUUUUUAAUUUCUCGAAUUUUCAAUUCAAUAUUCUUAAUUCUGUUUUUAUUUUAUUUUUCGUUUCUAGAUCCAACAAUUUAAUUCUGCUAUNNNNNNNNNNNNNNNNNNNNNNNNNNNNNNNNNNNNNNNNNNNNNNNNNNNNNNNNNNNNNNNNNNNNNNNNNNNNNNNNNNNNNNNNNNNNNNNNNNNNUUUUAUUUUUUUAGGAACGCAGGUUGUCUUGGGCAAGACUCUGCCUGGGAUAUCACGGAACAAGAUAUUUUGCAAGUCCAGUCCCUGAGGAUUUGACCCUACUUCCCUUUUACUAUUCUUUUCAUUAUUUAUUAGCGAUAGGAUAUUUUUGGUGCUUUCAACGACCGCAUCAAAUUUUGGUGCCGUUACCGGGGACUGGCAACGUACUAAUCUUGUUUUUUGUUUCUUAUGACCAGAUCUGCUCCAGGUACUCUUGCGUUCGAUUCAGAAAUUGAGAAGACUGCUAGAGCCAAUCGCAAGGAGACAAAGUUACGAAAAAAGCAGUCAGCGGUGGUUGGAACUCAAAGUAAUCCACUGCCAGAAAUUGAAGUCGACGACGAAGCUGAGUCUAGGGUUAACGAAAAUCCUACUCGAACACUUGAAAGUGAAAAAGUAGAAGUCGACUCACCAGAAGAAGUGCUUAAUGCUAGGGUUAACGAAAACCCAAAUUUAGCACACGAACUAAUGGCUCAAACAAUUCGGUAACUGGCCGAAGCUCCGACAGAACAACCACCAUUGUGCAUCGCGUAUCCUACUAUGGAUACUGAUUUUGAGUUGAAGUCAGGUUUAAUCCAGUUAUUGCCAACUUUUCGUGGGUUACAAAAUGAAAAUCCCCACAAGCAUCUGAAAGAAUUUCAUAUGGUUUGUCUUAGCAUGAAACCUCAGGGGGUAACUGAGGAUCAGAUUAAAUUACGUGCUUUCCCUUUCUCCCUAGCAGAUUCUGCUAAGGAAUGGUUAUUUUAUUUACCCCCUGGAUCUAUUACAACUUGGGCUGAUCUAUCUCGUUUGUUUCUGAACAGGUUUUUUCUAGCAUCUCGAGCAGCUGAGCUAAGAAGAGAGAUCGUUGGAAUAAGGCAAAAAGAAGCUGAGUCCCUUUAUGAUUAUUGGGAGCGGUUUAAGAAGUUGUGUGCAAGCUGUCCACAACAUGGUAUAACGGAGCAAUCUCUCCUCCAAUACUUUUACGAAGGUUUGAAGCCCAUAGAGAUGAAUAUGGUAGACGCUGCUAGUGGAGGAGCAUUGGUCAACAUGACUCCCCAACAAGCGAGAGACUUGAUCUCCACGAUGGCUGCAAAUUCUCAGCAGUUCCGAGCCAAUACUGAACCUCCUAGAAGGGUUCACCAGCUAAGUAAUUCAACCUUAGAGGAUAAAGUUGAUAAACUUACUAAUAUGAUGAACUCUCUUAUUGCAGAAAAAGCAAAGACAGCUCGGUUAUGCGGAAUAUGUGCUACACCUGAUCAUGCAACUGAUGCUUGUCCCAGUUUGUAUGAUGAUACCACGGCCCAUCUGGAUGCUGUGGGAAAUNNNNNNNNNNNNNNNNNNNNNNNNNNNNNNNNNNNNNNNNNNNNNNNNNNNNNNNNNNNNNNNNNNNNNNNNNNNNNNNNNNNNNNNNNNNNNNNNNNNNAAAGGCAAUAUGACCCCUACGCUAAUACCUACAACCCAGGGUGGAGGGACCAUCCUAACUUAAGUUAUGGGGCUAAUCUACGAAAUAACCAGCCAUACCAAAAUCGGUUUCCGCAACAGCCGCAAGGUUCAGGUAAUUUUCUAGAAACCAUGGUCAAUAAGUUAGCAGCUAAUGUUCUUGAUUUUCAGCAGCAAAAUCUUAAUUUCUAAAAGGAGAUGAAGGAUUUCCAAUAGAAAACCGAGGCGUCUAUCAAAGAGUUGACCACAUCGAUCGAGAAAUUAAACUCUCAAGGGAAGCUGCCGUCACAAACAGAACCAAACCCUAGACAAAAUGCAAAUGCAGUGACGUUACGAAGCGAAAAGGUACUGGAAUCGAUUCCUGACAGGAAUCUUGCCCAAGAAAUUGCCCAAGAAAAACCCAAGAAAGAUGAACAAGUCCGACCGAAGCCUCCAUUGCCUAAAAUUCAACCUCCAUUUCCCGAACGAUUCAACCAGUGUCGAAGAGGUAAAGAGGACAAGGAAAUCCUUGAAACAUUUAGGAAUGUCGAGAUCAAUAUUCCGCUGUUGGACGCCAUCAAGCAAAUACCACGGUAUGCUAAAUUUCUUAAAGAGCUUUGCACCAACANNNNNNNNNNNNNNNNNNNNNNNNNNNNNNNNNNNNNNNNNNNNNNNNNNNNNNNNNNNNNNNNNNNNNNNNNNNNNNNNNNNNNNNNNNNNNNNNNNNNNNNNNNNNNNNNNNNNNNNNNNNNNNNNNNNNNNNNNNNNNNNNNNNNNNNNNNNNNNNNNNNNNNNNNNNNNNNNNNNNNNNNNNNNNNNNNNNNNNNNNNNNNNNNNNNNNNNNNNNNNNNNNNNNNNNNNNNNNNNNNNNNNNNNNNNNNNNNNNNNNNNNNNNNNNNNNNNNNNNNNNNNNNNNNNNNNNNNNNNNNNNNNNNNNNNNNNNNNNNNNNNNNNNNNNNNNNNNNNNNNNNNNNNNNNNNNNNNNNNNNNNNNNNNNNNNNNNNNNNNNNNNNNNNNNNNNNNNNNNNNNNNNNNNNNNNNNNNNNNNNNNNNNNNNNNNNNNNNNNNNNNNNNNNNNNNNNNNNNNNNNNNNNNNNNNNNNNNNNNNNNNNNNNNNNNNNNNNNNNNNNNNNNNNNNNNNNNNNNNNNNNNNNNNNNNNNNNNNNNNNNNNNNNNNNNNNNNNNNNNNNNNNNNNNNNNNNNNNNNNNNNNNNNNNNNNNNNNNNNNNNNNNNNNNNNNNNNNNNNNNNNNNNNNNNNNNNNNNNNNNNNNNNNNNNNNNNNNNNNNNNNNNNNNNNNNNNNNNNNNNNNNNNNNNNNNNNNNNNNNNNNNNNNNNNNNNNNNNNNNNNNNNNNNNNNNNNNNNNNNNNNNNNNNNNNNNNNNNNNNNNNNNNNNNNNNNNNNNNNCGAUAAGAGAAUAGCUCAGAAGCAUUUUUCGGUAGGACAAAAAGUUUUACUUUAUAACUCCGUGUUAAAGUUAUUCUCGGGUAAGCUUCGAUCACGAUGGCAAGGACAUUUUAUUGUUACUAAAGUGUUCACACAUGGAGCGAUUGAAAUAGAGAGUGAAGAAUCUGGAAAGCGGUUCGUAGUCAAUGGCCAGCGGUUGAAGCCAUUUUAUGAGAAUUUUCAAGCCUACACGGUUAAGAAAAUCUAUUUGGAACCACCAAAGAACCAAUAACGGCGUCGAGCUAACGACGUUAAACAAGCGCUUGUUGGGAGGCAACCCAAUUUUUAUUUUAUUUAUUAUUAUUUUUCUUUACUUUAUUUAUUACUUUAUUUUAUUAUUUAUUACUUAUUUAGAUAUUAAUCAAUUUUUCUUCUUUUCCUUAGAAAAAAAAUGAAGCAAACCGUUAAGCAACACUUAAAGCGCAUUAAGGCCUGACUUGAAACCUUUGGCCAGCAACUGACCAAGCUCAUUGCCAUCAUUUGUGAUCACAUGAGGAGUUUUUCUAAACUUUUCUACCUAUUUAUUUCUUUUCGUCCACAUUGAGGACAAUGUGCUUUCAGUAGGGGGGAGGUACUCUUCGUUAUUACUAUCAUUUUCUGCUGUGAUUUUGGUUAUUGUUGUUGUUGCUGUGAUUAUUUUUGGCUGGUGUUGCUGCUUGAGGCUUUAUUUUGUCCAUAUUUAUUUUUUUGGAAUCUCCUGCCUCUUUUCAUGCCCAAGAUUUUUACCAAGAAUUGCCUACUGUUUGAUCUACAAGCAUGAUUCUUGUUUUCUGAGAAAAUUACGAAUUUUUCAUAAUUGAUGCCAUCUCCACUGUUUUAUUUUUAUUAGAGUAAAAAUAAUUUUGAUUCAUAAAGUUAACUUUAUCUUGCUUUUCGUAAAAUUGAUCAAGUUUAAAUACAAAGUUGACACUUAAUAUGUUUGCAUGCUAAAAUAUGUUGAUGACUAUUAAGGUAACUACUAAAGCUUAUUUUUGACACUUGAUUAUUAUUAUUUUUUCUCUAAAGUUCCUCAAAAAAAAAGUUAUUAUUAAUGUNNNNNNNNNNNNNNNNNNNNNNNNNNNNNNNNNNNNNNNNNNNNNNNNNNNNNNNNNNNNNNNNNNNNNNNNNNNNNNNNNNNNNNNNNNNNNNNNNNNNNNNNNNNNNNNNNNNNNNNNNNNNNNNNNNNNNNNNNNNNNNNNNNNNNNNNNNNNNNNNNNNNNNNNNNNNNNNNNNNNNNNNNNNNNNNNNNNNNNNNNNNNNNNNNNNNNNNNNNNNNNNNNNNNNNNNNNNNNNNNNNNNNNNNNNNNNNNNNNNNNNNNNNNNNNNNNNNNNNNNNNNNNNNNNNNNNNNNNNNNNNNNNNNNNNNNNNNNNNNNNNNNNNNNNNNNNNNNNNNNNNNNNNNNNNNNNNNNNNNNNNNNNNNNNNNNNNNNNNNNNNNNNNNNNNNNNNNGUCUUGGUAGGUUUGGUAAUUUACCUAAUUUUCAUUAAAUAAUUCAAGUUGAUUCUAAUUUUUGCGUGUAUUAAUUGGAAAUCUUUUUCUGUUUUACUUAAAGCAAGCUUAGGGUUCUCUUUAUUUUUCAUAUGCAUUUUUGACUGAUUUUUAUAAAACUUUGGAGUUGUAUUUCUUUUAUGGCAGAAUCUAACUUUCACAGUAGAUAGGAACCAUACUUGAGGGCAAGCAUGGACUAAGUAGGGGGGAUUUGAUAACACUCUAGAAUAACGUAUUUUUAUGUAUUAGUUAUGUAUUUAUUCUGAGUAUGAUCCUGCUAAUUUGAGCUAUUUAUGAUCUUUUAUCUCAUAGGGACUAAAUUUGAGGCAAAAGUGAAAUUAAGGGCCAAAAGCGUGAAUUUAGAGAUAAAAUGGGCCAAUAUGCGACACAAGGAAAAGUUGGUGCCAAAAGUGCAAGCAUGGAGGACACAAGGGUUGAAAUGCAAAAAGAAGAGAUUUUAUUUUAUUAAACUCUAUUUUAAUUAUAUUAGGAUAAUUAAUAUUGAGAUAAUUAUUAAGGAUUAUUUUUAGGAUUUUAUUUUAUCUUUAUUUAUCUUCAAUUAAAUGUAUUUAUCUUUUAGGAAUUUAAGUAGAAUUAGAAUAUCUCCCCUAGCACUAUAAAUAGGGGGUGAAGUGACUCAAAAGGGGAUCUCAUCUUUUUCUUUUUCUGUAAACACUCUCUCCCCAAAAGUCUAGGCUUUUGUUCUUUUCAUAUUUCCUUUCAAUAAAAUCUUUAUUUUUAUUUUAUUUAUUUUCUUUUCUACCACAACCAUGAGCCACUAAACCCAUCUAGCCGAAGGUUGUCAAAAAUCCCCAAAAAGGUUCUUGAGGCUUAGAAUCCGUACUUAGCCUUCUUGCUGAGUAUUCAUCGUUUCUCCGCACUACGGGGCUGACGCUUCCGUCCAAGUCCCUUAAGAAGUAAGUUUUUCAACAUAUGCAAAGGCGGCCGCUUUGUAUGUUUUGAGAAGGUUGCACAGUCGGUUCGUUAGCUCACUGCGUCAGAGGUUAGCGAGCCCAAGAGACAAAAUGGCGUGGGAUUCGCCAUUGAGAAGCGUUGAUCUAGCAUAAGACGAUCUCACAGAAGCGAUUGUUAGCUAGAGUCAGGUUCCAUCAAAUCGUAAGUCUAAAUCAUUGGAGCUGGUGGUCGUAGGCGUCCUCUUCCACUAUAACUGGCUUAUUUGGUUUGGGAAGGAUCAUCUAAAAGCCGAGGAUUGAACCCAAGGCGGAACGAGACAACUGGAGGCUGGAAUCUCCCAUAAGAAUUUUCUUUCUCUUAACUUUAUUUUUAAUUUCUCGAAUUUUCAAUUCAAUAUUCUUAAUUCUGUUUUUAUUUUAUUUUUCGUUUCUAGAUCCAACAAUUUAAUUCUGCUAUUGUUUUUAUUUUUUUCAGGAACGCAGGUUGUCUUGGGCAAGACUCUGCCUGGGAUAUCACGGAACAAGAUAUUUUGCAAGUCCAGUCCCUGAGGAUUUGACCCUACUUCCCUUUUACUAUUCUUUUCAUUAUUUAUUAGGGAUAGGAUAUUUUUGGUGCUUUCAACGACCGCAUCACAUAUUAAUCAUUAUGAGUAAUGUUGUGACAAUUACAUAAUAAUCCAAGAAACAUACUCAUAACGGGUCAGUCCAAUAUGUUGUUCUCUAACACACAUAUUCAUGCAUCGAUUCUGACAUUCCAUAUCAAUGACAACUCUUUAUCAUCAAUCAACUACAUGUUAGUCUUAAUGCAUUAUCGUUGUCCUAUCCAACAAUAAUACUUGACUAAGGAACUUUAAGAAUAAUCAUAUUAUUCUCAGGACAUUAUUAUAAAACAAUUUAUUUAUACACACAGAAAAGAAACUGAAAUAAUAAAUGUAAUGUCUUAUAUUAAUAAACAUGAUAAAUCAAGUAUGUUAUCACAACCAUCUCAUGAUUGAUCUUUGGGCAUACUCUAACAACUGUGUCUGUUAGGAUUAUAUAGAGGAUACCUCUGUGUGGAUAUUGGAAUGCCAGCUAAGCUUAUAUGCUUAAUUAUGCAUUAUGUCACCAUUUCAUCUAUACAGGUGAUAUAGAAUGGUGGAUUGAUUGAGGAGUUUAAACCUAUAUGGGGUGUUAGACACGGAGACUUGCUUUCACCAUAUUUGUUUGUUGGGAUCUAGUGCUUUUAGUAUAGUAUUUUCAUCUGAGUAUUCUUGUAUUUUUCGAAAAAAUUGGUUUGAUAAAAUAUUCAUUAAUUACAGUAAUACCCUUUUUAUAUUGUUCUCAAUAUUUUUGCACACAAAGAAAAAUGGAACAAAAUGUUGGUUCACUAAUUAUCUAACGUCUAACUAGUACUAAGCGAUAUUGCAUAAAUGGAUCAUAAAUGAAAAGACAACUUAUACUUGUAGAUAAACCUAAAUAUGUCCUUAGUCUAAUAAAAAAAAUGAGGAAACUGAUUAAAAGACUAAUAUGUCGUCUAUCAAGUUGAAUUGGAAAGAUGUUUUGUCUUGAGUAUCGAGACAGAUGACUUUUAAAAGAUAAAAACAUAAAUACGAUUGAUUAGAUUGACAAUACAUCUAACAAGACCCAAGUAGAAUAGAUCUUAUAUCCAUUUAUAGAUAUAUUCAUUGUGAUGUUCACAGUAUGGCAUACCUUAAUUCUGAAUGGAUGAUGGACUAUGGAUGAUGGACUAUGUAUGCAUGACUCGUAUAUUUUUAUGUAAGUAAGCCUAAAUUCGAAUAGAUAAGGAACUGAAAGCUGGUGCGUUGAGUAUACGACUUCUGCAAUAUGUAGUAUCAUUUACAAUAGUGGAAUUCAUAACCCAACUAAUGGGUAAAUGAUAUUCUUUCAUUGACAUUACAUGAUAGAUGAAAAGCAAACAUGAACAAGAUUCGUUUGUCUUUGUGAUAAAUGACUUUAUUUCUUUUUAAUAGUAAUUGAAUUUUCACGAAAAAUAUAAUUAUUACCAUGAGAUAAAAUAAAAUCAUAUUGGGAGAACAAAUUUAUCUUAAAGAGAUUAAAGAUAUUCUAUGAAGGUAACACAUUUAUGAAAAUAUCAUUGGACGAACAUUUAUUAAGCAGCUUUCGUAAUGGUAUGUAAUCAGAGAAAACUUAGUCACAAUAUUAUAGUGGAAUGACUUCGUGACUAAAUAAGUUUAUAAUUAAAAGGUAUAAAACAACUUAAUUAUAAAUUAUUUAAGUUCUAAUUAUAUAUGUCCAAUUGGUCCCUCUCUUAGCUCGUUGAAAUUAGAAAUAAAUUGGACAUAGAAUCAAAUAAAAAAAUGAAUGGAAAUGAUGAAAUUAGAGAAAUUAGUUGCAUUCACAAAUGAAUGUAUUUUCUCACUAAGUGUAGAAAUGACUUGAGAAUUAAUUUAAUUUAAUUAAUUAUAAUUAAAUAAUUGAAGUUCAAAAGUGAAAUUAAAUUAGUUAGUCAUUGUGAAUCUGUUGAAAAUAUGAAAUAUAUUUUCUCAUAUAUUCAUUUACAGUAAAGUUGUCAUAACUUUAAUGCAAUUAAAAUUGUGUUGAGAAAAUUAUUUAAUUGAGAAAAUUUACAAAAAAAUAUUUAAUUGAGAAAAUUAAUUUAGUUAAUUUAAUUUAAUUAAUAUUUAUUUUGAAAAAUAAAAAAUAAAUAUUAGAUUGAAUUAAAUUAUAAAGUACUGAAUCAAAAGUACAAUAAGUACAUAUAAUUGGAUUUGAUACACGAGAGAUACAAAACCACUUAUAAUAUAUGAAAGGGACUACAAUUCUAGUAUUUUUAACUAGGGUGUGCCGCCCACCCCUACUCUACUUAGAGAGUAGGAGUGUGUUUUCUAUUAAGGUAAUAUUAUUUGAUUAAACCUUAUUCAACUAGUAUUCUUCUAUCUUUCCAUAUAAAUAGAUGACGUGAGUUGACUUAAAAAAUACACUUCAUCGUUACUAUGCUAGAAAAUAGUGGUAAUUUAUUUACUUAGAAUAGAUUUUAUUUUUCUAGAAAUUACAAUCUUUAUCAAUUUUUAUUGAGAAAAUUACUUUCCUACUAAAAGUAAUAAUAUCAUUUCUUGUGUUGCGUUUAGCGACGCAAAUUAGGGGCACGAGAGUAGUGAAGAAGGUCAUUCGAUUGAAAGCCAGAAUUGACUCGAAUCUGUCUCGCAUAAAGUAUAAUACUUUUGAUAAAAAAUUUAUUGCUGUAAAUAUCACAAACCGAUCUGCUAUAACUGUAAACCGUUUUUUUCAUCCUCUUUUCAAAUUUGAGUUUAUUUUCAUGAAAUACUCAUUAAUUUUUCUAGAUCUACUCUCAAAAUUUUGGCCCAACCUUCUUCGAUUUCCACUUUGCACUGUUAGAUCGAAACCAAAACUCCAAGUAUGGUGUACCCACGUCUAGAGGCAACUUUCCACCAUUUGGAUUUGCAAAAACUCCCCAUAAAGAACCUUAACCUAAGCUUGGUUGAACCUCCACGAUGAUGGUUCGUUUCGAGUUGGUAGGUGUGUGCUUACAUUUGAGAGAAAGGAAGAACCCUAUAAUUUUUAAGGGUCCAUCAAACGAGGCUUGUUGAUUACAAAUCAUUUACUUUAAACCUUAAAAAAAAAUCAAAUAAAUAACAAAUAUCUACAAAAACACAUAUUCUAGCAAAAAGAAAAUGGUGGGAAGAAGAAAAGAAAAUGAACAUAUUUUAUAUGGGUUCAUCAGAUGUGUAUUUCAAAUUCCUCAAAUCUAACAUUGAAUCCAACAAAAAGAAAAAAAGAAAAAAAGAACUUGAAAACAAUAUCCAAAAACACACGACUAAGAUUUGCAAAUACAUGCAGUCCCUUUUAAUAUGAGAGGUUUCGUUUUCAUGUCAUUUUUUGAAGUUAGGAUCUGCUGCAACGGUGAAAAGGAAGAAAAUGGUAGGGAAAAGAGAUAACAUAUGAACGAAUGAAUAUUUUUAAAAGUAAUAACUUAAUUAAGUUUAUUUAAUAAUAUAUAACAAGACAAUUUCCACCUCAAUAAAGGAAAAGAAAAUAAAUUGAUGACGUCAACAAAAGAUAAACCACGUGGCACUCAACGUGGCAAAAACAAAAUAAAGAAGUUAAACCUAACUGCCCCAUCAUCACAUGAGUUUAUUUGAUUAGUUUUUUUUUUUAAAUUUAAUGGCUCAAUUGAAUCUAAAAACUUCAAAAAAAAAUUAAUUGAUUUUUUUUUUAAAAUUCGAGGGAUUAUAAUAUAAUUAAACUUUUAGUUUAUCACAUAGCCCCCUGCUCUUUUUUAUUUCUCUAUCAUAUUCGGCAAUAAUGAUAAUCUCAUUUAUUUACUAAAAAGAUAAUAAAAAAAUUAUAUGGGUUUAUGAUAUUUUUUGAAGGUUCCUUUGUAUUUUUCCACUCCACGAUCAUUAGUGAAAAUGCGAGGUGCAAUAUGUACAUUGGCAACUUAAGGGACCUAACCCCUAGCAAAUUGUAGGAGAACCCCUCCCCAAUCCCCUCUCUGUCCCUCAAAAGAGAGCUAAAAGGCAACAACUUGAUUUGAGAUGAUGAAAAGGAAAGUAAAAUUAUCAACAAAGUUCAUCAUUCUUUGGACAGAAACGUUAUUCAUUUCAACCCCAAAAAGAAGGGAAAAAAAUGGGUUGAUGAUGAAAAAUGAAGCAAAAUGAUAGCAAGUGCUCCUCUAUGUCUACCCCAAAUUGCUAGUACCUCUAUUCAUUGCAGGUAACUUUAUUCUACAAGGAAAUCUCCCUACACCUCUAAGUUUUCCUUUAAUACCUUUAUUUUCUUACUGACAAUCCAUUAGAUAGGAAAAAGUUGAAAUGUAAUGGUGGAAUUACAUUAUAGCAUUGGGUUGAAACCCAAGAAUCUUAUCUCGUCCCUAAUUAUUGAAUGCCUACAUGCGCAUGCAUAUAAUGGUAGGCAAAACCUAGCUAUUCCUUUGUUUUUAGUUUUCUUUUGUUUAUUUCGCAAUUCUUUUGAAUAAGGAAAAGGGAGAAACUGACCGAAAGAAGGAAGUGAAAAAAACAAACCUGUUUAAUCUGGUUUUAAUAUAAGGGACAUGAUCCGAAGUUAAGGUGAAAUCUUAAAAGGAUUUCCUUUUUACAAAUUAAAAAAAAAUCAUGAGAUGAAUAGGGAAAAAAACUUUUUUUUUAUUUCACAUAUUUGAAAAUUUUGAAAAAUAUUUUAAACCAUUUUUAGUACAUAUUAUAAUUAGGGAGGGAAUGGUAACGAUUGAAUUUAAACCUUGGUCUGUGGAUACAACAAGGGUUUAAUCAUUGCUCCUUUAUGCCUUUUAGUAUUUUGGCAUAGACUAAAAUAUGCUCUAAAUCUUUAUAUUCUUUUUUUACCUUUGAAAUUUAAUCUUCUUAUUUUUAUUUCAUGGAGUUUAGUUUUAUUUUUUUUAGUUUAAAAAUAUUAAUCUAAUUGUUAACAUUAUUAAAAAUUCUUUUAAAUUUAGAUUUAUAACAACCCUUUUUUACUACACGGUCACUAAGUGAGUAUUUUUUAAUUUUAAUAUCUCAUACCAAUGAAUUUAACAUGAAAAUUUUAAGGCGGCAUUAACAAUUGGAUUUAAAUUUUAAAUUCUAAAAAUUAUAUGGACCGAAUUCUUGAAAAAAAAUUAAAUUCCAAAUUUAUGAAGAAUACGAGAAUAAAUUUUAACUUUUUUAAUAUAUAAUUAUAACUUAAAAGUUAAAAUGGGACUAAAUUUCAAAUGAAACAAAAAGAAAUUGACAAGAAAAUGAGAAAUGAAUUGGGAGGAUAAAUUGAGGCAAUGUUGACGUGGAAAAUUGAUUGAAGUCGAGAAACAAUAUCCGGAAAUUCAUGUCCCCAUACCAACCAUGUUCAGUUGAUGGAAUCUGCAAUUAUAAGCUACAUUGAAAAGAGUGUCUGAAAGGCACCCCUUUUGCUGAAUAGAUUCUACACCAAUCUCAUCCCAUCCCAUUUUUCUAUUUCUCAUGUCUGCAUGUCUCUCUCCUGUCAAUGCUACGUUGAAAAUACGGGGUGAGGUGAAAACCCUCAUCCUUUUUUCGUCUAAUUCCUGUUGAAUAGUUAGAUUUAGGCAUAAUGAUUAUUAUGAAGUUACAACUUUAUAAAAAGAUUAUUUUAAUUGUUAAUUAAUUUAUUUUUGUUUUAUUUAACUUUUAAAUUUACAAUUUUUUUGUCAAAUCACCUUAAAAUGAUAAAAAAGUUAAAGUUUUUUUAACUUUAUUAACAUGACAUACAUGUAGAUUGCUACAUGAAUUAUAUGUCACCAUUUGAUUAAAUUUUUAAAUUGGGACACUAACUUAAUCAACAAUAUUAUUGAGUAAAAUUGUUUGUCACGGUGUUAUCAUCAAUCUUGUGUUGGUAUCGAGUUAACUUGUGAUACUAACUCAAUUAACAACAUAUUAAUAUAUACAGCUGUUAAAAGUAGUACAUUGUGCAUAUCAAAAUAAGAAAAUAUAAAAACAUCAAAAUGAAGCUUUGGUUAAGUGGUGGCUUUAAUAUUUUAUUAAUUUAAUUGGCGAGAGUUCAAAUCUUAUUAUAUGUAUUUAAUUCUUUUUAUUUAAAAUAAAAUAAAAUAAAUAAAAGUACCCUCAAAUAAUAUAGCUUAUUUUAAUUACGAAAAUAUAAUUUCAUAAUUUCCCUAAUCGAGUUGGUGCCGGGGUGACUUAUGACACCAACUCAAUCAAAUGCUUAAAUAAUAGUAUAGAUAUACAAAUAAUGAAUAUGUAGUGGUGAUUAAACCUUUUGUCAGACACCUGUUCGGCACGGGACCGAACUGUGUUACCCUCAUCUCCUACAUAUAAGAUUUUAUUAAUUCAAUUAGUGCGGGUCCAAAUCCCAUAAUAUGCAUUGGAAAACAUAAUCAACAUAUAAGUAUACAUUGUCUACAAUAAAUAAGUAAUAAUUAGAACUUUAAAAAAAAAAACUAAGGCUAGUAAAUGGUCAUGCCAUAUUUACCUAGUUAAUUAACUAGUGUAGACUGUUGGUACAGUCGACGUGGUUUAGGCUCAAGAAUGAUUUCUGCAACAUUUUUCACUGAAAGGGUGAAAUUUCUUUAGCUUCUUUAUACUGAGGUAGUAAGGUAGGUCUUCUCCUUUCCCAGAUUAUAUCUUCCCGUGAGGGACUAAUAUCAUUUAGCUGAGAUGCCUUCAUUUCAUAACAAAUUAAACUUCGUUGAGAAUAACAUAAAAAUAAAAUAAAAAUUACUCAAUUUCAUAUAUAUUAGAAACAAUAGUGGAAAAACUCAAGUAAAAGAGUGUUGGGACGAUAAAUACCUGAUCAGUUUUAGCAUGCACAGUCAAUGUUAAAUAAUCUGCACUGAAACUUGUGAUCAUCUUGGAACAUUUCUUAAUGUCAAGCGAAUGCAAACAUGGGAUUUCCAGAUGAUAACCGACAGGGUUGAAGCUCUCGAGCUUUGACAAAUUUUCAAGUUCUAUUUUCUUUAACUGAGGGAAUACCAUUUUCAUCUCCAACUGAGGACCUUGUGAUGAUGAUGAAGAUGCUAAAAUGUCAUCAUUUCCAAUUAUUUGCUUCAAGUUCUCACAUGACGCUAUGUUUAGGAUGCUUAAUUGUGGUAAAUGUGGAAUGAACAUAACUGGAAAGAUGUCUGUCAAAUUAUUGCAGUGGCGAACCCUUAGUUCUCUAAGAUUGGUAGCAACAUGGAUGGGACCCUUCCAUAUAUCUUGCAACCUAAUUACAUUAAAAAGCUCCAUUUUCUCUAGACUUGAGAUGAUAUUGCCACCCUGAAGCUGAAACAAUUGUUCAAAGUUCCCCAAAGUUACAUAUUCGAAAUCUGGUGAUUUUUGUCUCAACUGAGUGUUUACCAUAUCACACAAAUUGACAUCUUCACUGCCUGUAUCUUCCAUAGAGAAGAACAACUCCUGCAUAAAAGUAAAGGGAAGUGUUAUUCUUUUAAGUUCUUUCAAAAUCAACCAAGUAAGUAUGGCACUCUCAUAUUUGGUUUUCUUUUUAACUUUUAAUUACAUGAACUGAUGUAAAAGUGUGCAUGAGAGACUUUCCACUUUUCUAAGGAAAUUGGAUUUUAAUAAAAAUCCAAAUGGAUAAGAAAUACAAGUUUAGAAACUUGUUAACUUCUUUUUGAAGAACAAAACAAAGGAAUUAAGAAAAAAAAAGUGAAAGGGGACGUACCUUCAAGAAAACACACUUUUUAAAUUCUUUAUGAAAGGUAAAAUUUGUAAACGCUGAACAUCCUCGGAUGUAUAAAAUUUUCAAAGUUGGUGCUUCCAAAAAGUUGUUUUCUCCUACAAUACUCUUCAAGGUUCUCAAUCCAACAAGUUUUAUCUCCUCUAGAUGAGAAAAACCUCCAAUUGAAGUAUGUGGGAAGAAAUAUUCCAAACUUGGACAUUCUCUAAUCUCCACAAAUUUCAAGUUUGGCAAGUAACGUGCAUUUGAUUCUAUUCCAUCAUCGAUUCGAAAUAUCUCUGAAAUUUUUUCACAGUCAACAACUCUCAAAAUUUUGAGAUUCUGCAAGAAACACUUGGGAGGUUGGCCAUUGCAUUUGAAAUUCAUCAUUAUUUGUGAUGCAUCAACCAAGCAUUCACCACUGCUCCAUUUGUUAAUAGAGAUGGAAGUUAAUCCGUCUAGAUGUUCCAGAUCUACAAGAUCUGGGACGAGAUUUUUGUGAUCUCCAAUAUUGUGGAGAACAAGAUCUUUUGUAUUGCAUAAUAAUUCUUUGAAUGCGGAUAAUCCAGUCUCCUAGUCGUAAUUAAUCACAUAAAUGAAAACAAAUCAUUAAUUAAUAAAAUCACAAGAAAAAAAAUUAAAUAUUAAAUUAAUAUACUAACGUGUUGGUAUCAUAGAGAAAAUAUAUAUAAUAACAGAUUUGGCAUAACAAUUAUCACAAGGAUAUAUGAUAAUUAUACACAGAAAAUACAACUAUCACCACGAUACCAUUUAUAACUAUCACCAGGCUCUAUUUUAGGCUGGUUAGGAGGGGCAUGGUAUAAAAAAGUUUAAUAAUUAGAAAAAUCAAAUAAAAAAUCCAGAAAAGAAAAAAGAGUAAGAAAAGUGUACCUUUAACGUUAACUCCAGCUGAUUGUUGGCUUGUUGAAUGGGAAAGUUUAUCACUUUAGAACAAACAUUAGCUUUUACGCUUUUCAAAGAUGGUGCUUUGACAAUAUAGUUUUGUGGGACAAAACUAGUCAAGUUUCGUAACCAAUCAAGUUCUAGAUCUUGUAGACUUGGAAGAAGCAGACUACUAUGGUGUUGAACUCCAUUUUGUUCAUAUGGCAUGCCGAAUACUUGCUUUAAUGCACCACAAGAAGAAACCGAAAGCGAUGCAAGAGCAGGAAGACCUUGAGCCAAAGGGAUUGGCACUACAUAUUCCAGUUUUGAACACGCUCUGAUGAAAAGGGUCCUCAAUUUGGGCAAGCGGAGAGGAAGGGAAGAAGUCUUCGGUUCUAUUUCACCAUCAUUGAAAAGAGUUUCCAAUUCGUUGCAGUGUUGUAUCUUGAGUUGUUCUAAAAGCACUAGGCUUUGAAUAAGGGAAGGUGAAAAAGGGAUUUCAAUUUUCCGCAUCCAUUUAUGGCUACAACCUUAAGACUUUGGAGGGUGAAAGAAUGGGGUGAGCCUUUGAAUAUCCAUCUCAAUGCUGGUAAUUGGUACAGCGUCAAAGAUUGUAAAUUUGAAAGUGGGUGCUCUUGAUUUUCUUCUCCGUCAUGAAGGAGCUCACCCACCACUUGCAACUUACAACAUUCUCCAACUUCCAGAUGUUUCAAGUUUUUGAGGAAACCUUGUGGAGGCUGACCCUUGCAUAAGGCUUCCAACCCAUCCAUAUCUUCCAUAAAUAAUGUCUCCAAAUGAGUGAAUGCUGAAGUUGGCCCAUUCUUUGUUGUAUCAACCAAGCAUUCAAGAUCCUGAAUUUCUCUAACUUCAAGUUGUUUUGAAGUUUUGAAUGAUUCCUUGAAUGCUGAUAGUCGAACACCCUAAUUGUAAUUCACAUCAUCAUUAAAAACACAUUUUAUAUAUCAAUUAGCAAUCAAUAAUUGACAUACAAACAUAAAUAGUUAAAAUUUCUUUUAAAUCAAUAUUGUUAUCUACGGUAAAUACCAUUAAUGCAGAAUUAAACAAAUGGCAAACAACUCAAAGUAAUCAAACUCAUAAAUUACCUACUUUAAUUACUUGGAAGGCUGGAAAUAAAAAAAAAAAAAAAAGACAGUUAAUGAAAAUGUUACAUCUACAUGGUUUCUUUAAUUUGUAUUAAGUAAGAAACUAGAAAACAAUUCAUUUGUGUAGUAAAAAAAAUGCAUUUGUUGAUUACAAAUAAACCUAUAAUUGUGCAUAUCAAUGGCAUAGUGUAGUAGAGAUUCGGUGCCAUGACCCUCUAAAAUAGUAAUUUUUUAAUUUAGAGUCAUUAUAAUUUAUAAAAUUUUAAAUUAUUAAUGGUAAAAUUAUACUUUAACUCCAAAAAUAAUAAAAUUUGAUUUAAUUCUUUAAAAAUUAUAAAGAUAUAAACUACUAAAUUAAUAAAAUUUUACUUUUAUUAUCAUAAAAAUAUAUAAUUAAUUCUACUAAAAAAUUUCAGGCUGCUCCACUCUGCAUAUGGAUAUGAUUAAUUUUGUUUUAUAUUUUAACCCUGCUUUUAGCAAAAGUUAAAAGAAUGAGAUUGAAAAAGAAAAGAAAGAUAUUUUAUAAUGAAGAAAAACUCAGUAAAAUUAUAAUAAAGUUGUAAAUUAAUAUAUAUUAUCAAAGUUGUUAAUGUCCUAAUUGUUUUUAUGUAAAAAAAGAAAAGAAAAAAAAAGAGCUAAUGAUAUUUUUGAACCACCAAUAAAUAUUAUUUUUAUAUUAUUUACUUCCAUACACAUAGCAGUGCCAAUUGUAGUAUGGUUAAAAUAUCUUAAACAUUUUGCUGUAAAAUCAAUAUGAAAACUGAGUUAUGAAAAGUUAUAAAUAAAUAAAAUUCAAUAAUGUAUAAUUUGUAAGGGAGAAAAAGAACGUACCUUUAUGGAAGCUUUCUUAGCUUCUAAAUGAACAACCAAAUCAGUUAAUAGAGGGCAUCUUUUCACUGAAAAGGACGAUAACGAUCUCAAGAAUUGCUGGUGUUGGAGCAUACUGUCAUUUCCCACCCUGUCUUUGGCAACUCUAAACACUUGUUUUAAUUGAGAGCAAGCCUCUACGUUAAGAGUCAAACCCUGAAGCCCUUGUGGUGACAUCGACGUUGGAAAAAUAUACUCCAAACCAUAACAAUUUGAUAUGCUGACGUCUCCUAACUCUGGGAAGCACAAAGAAUUAUGAGAAUUGAUGGUUGGUGAUAUUUCUCCCUCGUCGCCUUCCAAUUCUGUCACUAUUUGCUUCAUUUCAUCACAGUAGCUUAUGUCAAGACGUUUCAAUUGUACUAGACUUUGAGCAAGAGAAAGUGAAAAGAGUGAUUUCAAACGUGGGAACUUUUUUAUAGUCAAAACAACUAAGCUUUCAAGUCUUACAUGUUGGGUCGGAAAAAUAUACUCCAAACCAUCACAAGUAGAUAUGUAGAGUUUUGUUAACUUUGGGAAGGACAAAGAAGUAUGAGAAUUGAUAGUAUGUGAUAUUUCUCCCUUGUCACCUUCUAAUUCUGUCACUGUUUGCUUCAACUCAGGACAAUAGAUUAUCUCAAGUUUUUCCAAGAGUACGAGACUUUGAGCAAGAGAAAGUGAAAAGAGUGAUUUCAAACGUGGGCAGUGUAGUAUAGUCAAUUCAACUAAGCUUUCAAGUCUUACAUGUUGGGUUGGCAAUUCCCAUAUGCAACUCAAAUCUGGCAACCUUUGAAGACGUAAAAUCUUCAAAUUUGAAAGGAGUGGAGCUUCAUUUUCCUCCACCUCCUCCAUUUGAAAUACCACUUUUAGAUUCUUGCAGUAAUCGAUUCUCACUAGUUUUAGAUUUCGUAAGAUCAUUGAUACCGACACCUUUGGUUGUGUUUUAUUAGUCAAGCAUUCUACAUACUCAUCCUUGAUUUUUGACACUUCAAGAGACUCUAAAUUCCCAAGUAAUUGGGAAAAUGCAUUGUAAGGAAACACUUCCUCAAUUUUCAAGGAUCUUGUUGUGUCAAUAGUAUAACCAAAACCGGACAUUUCUCAGUAACCAAAAUUUAUACUAAAACAGUUUAUGCCAAUUUUGUAAUUUUCUAAUUCAGGAAACUCGAAGUCUAGUGGACAAUGUAGAGAAUGUACCUCAACUGAUAGUCUCCUUAAUUUGGUCAAAAAUUUUAUCUCGAGAAAGAUAUCAUUACUUAUACCCGAUCUUGGUAGAUACAACUCCUCUAACUGAGACAACCUUCGAAUAACUUUAGAUUGAAAUCUCCCAGAACACGCACAAUUGAUUAGAUCCAAUAUCUUUAGAUUUUCUAACAUCUCUAAUUCAUCUGCAAGAUCCUCGUACACCCAACCAUGUAAACUCAGGAUCUCAAGUGUUGUUAGGUUUCCAAGAAACGAAUAGUGCGCAAAAUUGUCCAAAUGCAGAGCACGGAGUUUUGGUAGGAACGUAAGAGCAUACAAGGAAAUAACCCCCGUACCAUAUACAGCUGUAAGAUUUAAAACUUUUAGUUCUGUCAUUCCUAAAAAACAUGUACCUUGUAUAUCGCAGUUAUUGAGCAAUAGGAUCUCAAGCUUUGAAUGCAUCAAUCUAUCAGGAAAUUUUUUCUUUUCACUGCCCAAUAAUGAGAUUGCUUUACUAGAUUCUGAGCUUUUAUUUAGUGUUUCCAAUCUAGAAUUGAUCAUAAAACUACUUUCUUCUUCUGAUGCAAUCCAUAGAGCAACAUCACGAACUAUAUCAUGUAACUUAACGUACCUAAUCAAGCCAAAAUAAAAGAGGAUGCAUUGAAUAAUAUUUUAUUAUUAUACAAUUUUAAGAAGAAUAAAAGAUAAAAAAGAAUGUAGAAAAAGGAACAAUAGGAAGAAAAAUUUUAAUAAAACAAAGAGGUGGAGGAAACUAUCAAAUUUAACUAUAGUAUACAUCUUAAUCAAAUUUUACAUUAUAUGAAUUAGACUUAAUAUAAUAUUUGGUAUUUAACUUGUCAUUUUUUCCUAACACUUUUCAUAAUUUAAUACCUAAACCUUUUUCUUUUUCUUUUUUGUAUGUUUAUGAGUAAGAUUUACUGAAUGUAAGACUAAAGUUAAAGUAGACUUCUGGAUUUAUGUUUUAUUUAUCAUUAAAAUAUUUCGAAUAUUUUUAUAUGUUAAUAUUUUAAUAGAUAAUUAAUAUUUUUAUAAAAAUAUUUUUAUCUUGUUAUACUUUUAUAUACUCUUCAAAAUGAAAGUAUAAUAGCUAAAUAACAUCAUUUGGGAAUCAAACACGACGAAUAAAUUUAUAUAAAAAUCUCAUAUCCAUCCACCAAUAAUUAUUUACUAAAAUAAAUUUAUAAUAUAUUUUUAAAAUAAAAUAUUUUCUUUCACCUACAGGAGUGACAAAAUCCCAAUCAUUUAUAAACAAAUGAUAUUUUUCAAGUUCAAGAAAUGGAGAGUCUAAAAUUGCUCGAGUUUGGCUAAGCUUGUGAACUUAGCAAGAGAACUCUAUCUAGUAUGUAUAUAUCAUUCAUCCUUUUAAGUUGUGUUUGUCUUAAAACAACUUUGAGAAAAAUGGAUUGAUUUUCUGAAAAAAUUGAUAUUUUUUAGUAUUUAAAUAAUUUUGCAUAAAAUAUUUUUUAUUUGAAUUUUCUUUCUAAAAUCAUUUUUCAGUGAAAUAAACCCAAGAUAAAUUAUAUUUGAUACAAAACAUUAUGGAAACACAUUUUUUUAAAAUCAAAAAUUAUUUUUAAUAAGAUAAUAUUUUGUAAUAAAUAAUAUAUUAUAAUAAGCAUUUUACUAUUUAAGGGCCGGGAUACCUAUCCAAUUUUAUUCCACAAGCCUAAAAGCUCGCCCAAUAUAUAGGUUUGAGAAACAAAUAGACCUAUUUAAAAUAUAGGUUGGGCCUGAACUUCAUCAUUCAAGGCUCGAUCCCAUCUAAUUUUAUACUUUUGUAAUAUAAUUUUAUUUUAUUUUUAUAUAUUAUAUAAUGUAAAUCACAUAAAAUAGAAUAUAUAAUAAUAUAAUACUACGAAAAUAUUAAAAUAUGUUAAGUUAUCUAUGUUUAAAAUUUUACUAAUAAAAAGAUCUAGAAUAUUAAAUAUUAAAUAUUAUCGGUAACCUAGAAUGAGCAUUAGUUAGAUAUUUGUAAACAUGGAUAGAUUUGAGUAAAAUUUUAGACCUAUAUUUUAGGCUAAUCUUAGCUUGGCUUGGGCAAAUAUAAAGCUACUAAUAUCAUAGAUAAACCAAAUCCGAACUUAGCCUAACUCAAACUAUAAACACUUUUAAUAAUAAAGAUUUAAUAUCUAAUUAAAACUUAUUUUGAAGUUAUAUAUUGGGGGAAGGGGGAGACAACAAUGAUUAAAUGAAAUGAAAUAGGAUUUAAAUUAACAUUCAUAUUUAUUUUAUUAAAAUAAUCAUAUUUUAUAAUAUAAAAUAUGUAUUACUAAAUAUUUAUAGAUUGUAAUAUAUUUAUUAUCAAAAUAUUAUUAUUUUUCAAUAAAAUAUUAAGAACAUUACUUAAAUUUUAAAAUUAUUAUUAAUGCUAAUUUUUAUCAUUAAAAUAAAACUUAGUAUUAAAUAAUUUUACUAAAAUCAAUUAUAUUAAUAAUUUAUUAUAUGAUUAAAUAUAAAUAUGUAUGUUUAAUAAUAAAAAUUAUAUUAUUUGAGAUUAAUAAUUUAGUAUUUUUAUAAAAAAUAUUUUAUAUUUUCCUAAUAAUAAAAUAUAUUUGCUUAAUAUUUAAAUACAAAUAAGUAUUUUUAAUAUUUUUAUAAAAACAUUUUUAUAAAAAUAAUCUUACUUUGUAUAAAAAACAUAUUUUCCCUAAAACAAACUUUUAAUAUACGCAAAUACCAACUCAAGAAAGUGAUAGUUUAAACGAGAUAUAUAUAUAGCUUUGCCUUGGAAUUUAAGCAUCAUACCU